rnacentral:lncRNA from 1 species
GUCGGACCAAUUCCUCAAGGUCCACAAUUCAACACAUUUGAAAAUGACUCAUAUGGUGGCAACCUUGAUUUAUGUGGUCUUCCUUUAACAAAGAAAUGUGGAAUGAGUGAUUCAUCGCAUGUUCCUCAACAGUUGGAGUCCGAAGAAGAAGGCGAGUCAUAUUUUUUUAGUGGAUUUACGUGGGAAUCAGUAGUCAUAGGCUACAGUUUUGGACUAGUUGUUGGAACUGUCAUGUGGAGUCUCAUGUUUAAAUAUCGUAAGCCAAAAUGGUUUGUGGAAUUUUUCUAUGGACUCAUGCCUCACAAAAGAAGAAGGCCAAAGAAGAGAGCUCAGAGAUGACAGACUUAAUGGAAGAUUGAGAGGGCCAACUUGUUUUUGAUUGAUUUUGUGGACUAAUUAGUGAACUUUUCUGGUUCUGUUUUUGUCUUUUCAAUUUUCUGUUUGUUAUUUGUAUAUGUUUGAUAGAAACAUAAUUAUAUAUGAGCCAUUUAAUUAGUAUCAAUGGUUAUUCAAGUUAUGUUUCUGUUUCAAGUUGACAUAAGUGAUCCACACAGCCACUUAUUAAUUAGCUAUGUUACUCGGACUUUUCAAAAAUGCCAACGGGUACUUGUUGGAUUCUUCAAAGUAUUGCAUUUCUCAAGGAACCAACACAGGUGUGACAUCAUUAUAUUUUAGGAGAGUUGGAGCAACAUAGCUCAUUAGUACAACAAAAAGGAAAAAGCAAAGCAGUAAGCAUAUAGAGUUUGGUUCAUGAUUGAAAUCACUUGAUAUUAGAAAGUUCAUAUAUUCAGCAUAACUGCAUGUCCAUUUUACAUUACAGUUCUUCUUAUACAAACUAGAAAAGAAAAUCUUGUGUUUACAGAAACUGAAAAUUGAUUUUCUAUAAUGUAAUACAUUUGCAUUGACCACACUACCCUUAUGUCACUGUGUUUUACAGGUUACCAAGUCUAAGAAAAAAAGUAAGAUUUUUUAAAUUUGUGAUUUUGAAUAUGACGUGCGAUUUUUGUGGCUAAUUAAUUACAUAUAUGCAUCAAAUCAUCUUUUAUUUGAAUAGCUUCGCCUUCUUAUAUGAACAAAUGACGCUUGCUCAAGUGGUUGAGCAUCUUCAUCAUUAGCCGGCAUACUAGAGAAUAAGUGGAAACACUAUGAAUCCUCCUAAAGUUGGGUCGGAACUCGAGGCUCAGUUAACCUUUUUUCUUUGUUGCUUAAUCUAAUACGAGAUUUUAUUAAUAAUAGAGUGCAAACUAGCUGUAAAGUAUCAACUUUGUCCCCAUUACGUUUUUUUCUACUACAAAAAAACUAGAAAAGUGAGAAGUGUUGUGGAAAAUUAUAGAAUGUACCUAACAUGUUUGAAAACAACUAAUCAGGAAUUUCUGAUAUUAUUUCUCUGCAAUCUUUAACAUUAAAUAUUGACCAAGUCAAGUAUCUCUGGUGGUGGAAUUAGAAUGUUGAGUUAGCUUUACUUUUAUUUCUUUCUUGUUUAAGAUCUUAUAUUUAUAAAAUAAGGCAACAUGUCCUAUCAUUAUUAUACUAAAUUUAUUUUUCUUCUUGUUUAAGAGCUUAUAUUUCUGUAAAGACUCUGUAUGUAAUAUUUUUCUUCUUUCUUUUGUUUUUCUCUUGAUUAGACUUUUUAAAUUUGAUUUUCUAUGAAUUUCUUAAUGUCGUAAGUUUUUGUUUGUGCUCAAAUUAGCCAUUUGUGAUUUAAUUGAAAGUGUUCUAACUACUAAUCAAAGUUUAAAAUUUAUAAUUAUUAGUGUGAAAGGAAUUAAUUUUAACAUUAAAAUAUGACCCUCAUUUGAUCACACUUUUAAGGAUUUAUUUAUAAUUAUUACAUUUUAUUACUCAAUACAUAUAUAUUUUCAUAUAAUUUUUAAUUGUUUUGAGAUGUAUAAAAAUUUAGAUGAAACACAUGUGCAACUCAGAAACUAGUAUAUAUACAUGGAUUUUGUAAGAAGAGAACAUCCAUCCUGUUAUUUGCUGAAAACAAACAAACAAAAAAUGGUCAUGAGUCUCUUUUUCUUUUAUUCAUUUCUCUGUUUUGUGUUGCUAAUAAGUGAAUGCUUUUCUUUUUCCUUUGAGCAUCAUCUUUGCUCUCCCACUGAAGCUUAUGCUUUGCUUCAGUUUAAGCAAUCCUUUAAAAUAUCUGAUUACUCUAGUUUUGAGUGUGAUACUUCUUUUCCAAAAACAAAUUCUUGGAAUGAGAGUAGGGAUUGCUGCAGUUGGGAUGGAGUCACUUGUAACUUAUUAAACGGUCAUGUUAUUGGGUUAGACCUUAGUUGUAGUCUGCUUGGUGGAAGUAUUCAUCCCAAUAGCAGCCUCUUCCAACUUCAUCAUCUCCACACACUAAACCUUGCUUACAAUGACUUCGAUUAUCCUUCUUCAAUCCCACAUAACAUUGGUCAAUUGACGAAUUUGAGGCAUCUCAACCUUUCUCAUUCUCACUUUGAUGGAAAAAUCCCAACAGAAAUCUCAUACCUUUCCAAUUUGGUUUCACUUGAUCUUUCUUCUUUUUAUGGUUAUGUUUUACAACUUGAUGAGAGAACAUUUGAAACAAUGCUUCACAACUUCACAAAUCUGGAGCUACUUUCUCUCUCUUUUGUCAACAUCUCAUCUCCGAUGCCUGUGAAUGUUUCUUCCUCCUUAAGGUACCUCGAUCUUGGUUAUACUAAUAUGCGAGGUGUUCUCACAGAGAGCUUUUUCCUUCUGUCAAACAGCUUGGAAACGCUCAAAUUAAGUGAUAAUGAUCUUCUCAAAGGAGUUUUUCCAAAGACCCACCCGAGCAACACUCUGUUAAUGGAGUUGGAUAUUUCAGGCACAGGCAUCUCCGGUGAGCUGCCUCAUUCAAUUGGCACCUUCAGUUCCUUGAAUAUCUUGAACCUCUAUGGAUGUCAAUUCUCUGGUUCCAUUCCUGAUUCCAUAGGAAACCUAACACAAAUUACGGAGUUGCUUUUAUCUUAUAAUCAUUUCACUGGCCAUAUUCCUUCCACAAUCUCUAAAUUGAAGCACCUCAGAAUUUUAUAUCUUUCUGACAAUUCCUUCUCAGGUGAAAUUCCUGAUGUUUUCUCUAACCUCCAAAAGCUAUACUAUUUAGAUCUUUCUGAAAACAGCUUCACUGGUCCAUUUCCUGCUUCAAUUUUAGGUUUGACACAUCUUGAAUACUUAGACAUGUCGAGUAAUUCCCUAUCUGGCCCACUACCUAGCAACCAAAGCAUGCUUCAAAAGCUAACUUCUGUGGAUUUGUCAUACAACUCACUGAAUGGUACCAUACCAUCUUGGGUGUUUCGCCUACCUUUGCUAUCUUCAGUGUCGCUCCAACAUAACCGAUUCAGAGGACUAGCCGAGGAAGUGAUCAAAACAAACCCAACAUUAAAACAACUGCUUUUAAGCAAUAAUCAACUCAGUGGUUCUUUUCCUCAAUCACUUGUGAAUCUCACAAACCUUGAAACCCUUGGAAUUUCAUCAAAUAACAUCACCAUUGAUGAGGGAAUGAAUAUCACCUUUCUUAGCCUAUCAUCUUUAUUCUUAUCAUCUUGUCAACUGAAGUAUUUUCCACACUUCUUGAGAAAUGUAAACACACUUGAGGGCUUGGAUAUUUCUAACAAUAAGAUUUGUGGUCAAAUCCCUAACUGGUUUAGCAGCAUGAGGUGGGACUCAUUGCUGUUCCUAAACCUUUCUCAUAAUUCAUUAACAGGCCACCUACCACAAUUUCAUUACUAUAACCUACCACAAUUUCUGUUUCAAGUUGACAGAAGUGAUCUACACAGCCGCUCAUUAGCUAUGUUACUCAAACUCUUCAAAAAUGUCAAUGGGUACGUGUUGGAUUCUUCAAAAGUAAUGCAAUUUUUAAGGAACCAACACAGGUGUCAUUAUAUUUUAGGAGAGUCGAAACAACAUAACUCAUAUUUCUUAACAUUUUCUGCUUCUACAUUUAUUGCUGUUAAAGAUCAUUGCUUGAAAUGGCUUAACUCAUACACACAGAGGAUAGCAACUAUUGAGCUGUUGACUGAAGUGUUCCAUUUAUUAAUACAACAAAACAGGAAAAGGCUACAUCCACCUCUGGGGCUCAUGUUGUUCUGUUUCUUCAAAUGCAAAACACUCUCUAUCAUGAUAUUCUUUAUUUUCAAGGUUCGAAUCUGAAACCCUUGGUUCAAUUUUACCUGGAACCAUUCAUUUAGCAUAACUAGAUGUCUUAUCGCAUUAUAGUUAUUAUACAAAGUGAAAAAAUUCAAGGGAUAAUAAGACCAUCUCAAAAAUCGGGUGUGUAACUGAAAAAUCUGACUCGACUUUAAGGGUAUACUUAGGGUGGUUCAAAAUCGAACCAUAACCGAUAGGCCAAUCGCAAAAUUGGCUUAUUUGUAUUGGAUUAUCGGAUUAACGGUUGAUCAACGAUUAAAAUUUUAUAGUUACGGUGCGGUGGCAGAUUACUCAAUUUCCUUAGGGAAAAUUACGCGGAAAAGCAAACAUAUACUAGUUAAUUAGCUAAUAUAGAUAUCACGACCCAAGUCUACACCCUGGAUGUGGCCGGCACUCAAGAACCAUUGUUGAUCCCCAAGCGAACCCUCAUCCUGACAGACUAACUUAAGCAUGCAAAAGCUUAAAAUUGAAAUUCAAUAAACUCAACUUUGUAAAACAUUAACUCAAAUGAACAACUUAGAAUAAAAAUAAUAUAUUCAACUCGCCAUAAAAUAGGCAACUUAAGUCUUUAAAACAUUUAAUAAAAUAAAUAAAUAAUACAGACUUUUCAACUAUACUGACUAUCUGUGAAGCCUCUAACUAAUAAAGAUAGAAGUCGAGACAAGACCCACGACAUCAUGACUAAACUAAAAAGUAAAUGAAAUCCUCCGGAAACAAGGAGGCUCACCAUAGCUAACUCGAACUCCCGGAUGUAUCAACGAAUCUCCUGUUAAUGAUCCUGAAUACAUAUGUCUGCAUCAUGAAAAGAUGCAAGCCAAAUGGCUCAGUACGUGGAAUGUACGAGCAUGUAAGGGGAAUUCUAAAACAUAAACAUAAGCUUGAAACUUGAUAAAAAGGAGACAUACUUUCCUCUUUUCAAACUUACUCAACUAAAGGAAUACUCAAGGACACUCAAAACUACUCAAACUUACUCAACUCAGAAGUACUCAAGGAUAAGAAACUCAACUAAGUAAUAAUUUUCUCAACUCAGUGAAACUCAACAAUAAGGUACUCGACACAAUGAANNNNNNNNNNNNNNNNNNNNNNNNNNNNNNNNNNNNNNNNNNNNNNNNNNNNNNNNNNNNNNNNNNNNNNNNNNNNNNNNNNNNNNNNNNNNNNNNNNNNNNNNNNNNNNNNNNNNNNNNNNNNNNNNNNNNNNNNNNNNNNNNNNNNNNNNNNNNNNNNNNNNNNNNNNNNNNNNNNNNNNNNNNNNNNNNNNNNNNNNNNNNNNNNNNNNNNNNNNNNNNNNNNNNNNNNNNNNNNNNNNNNNNNNNNNNNNNNNNNNNNNNNNNNNNNNNNNNNNNNNNNNNNNNNNNNNNNNNNNNNNNNNNNNNNNNNNNNNNNNNNNNNNNNNNNNNNNNNNNNNNNNNNNNNNNNNNNNNNNNNNNNNNNNNNNNNNNNNNNNNNNNNNNNNNNNNNNNNNNNNNNNNNNNNNNNNNNNNNNNNNNNNNNNNNNNNNNNNNNNNNNNNNNNNNNNNNNNNNNNNNNNNNNNNNNNNNNNNNNNNNNNNNNNNNNNNNNNNNNNNNNNNNNNNNNNNNNNNNNNNNNNNNNNNNNNNNNNNNNNNNNNNNNNNNNNNNNNNNNNNNNNNNNNNNNNNNNNNNNNNNNNNNNNNNNNNNNNNNNNNNNNNNNNNNNNNNNNNNNNNNNNNNNNNNNNNNNNNNNNNNNNNNNNNNNNNNNNNNNNNNNNNNNNNNNNNNNNNNNNNNAUGUGGAAUUAUGAGCAUGAACUACUCAACUCAAGACUGUUCGACUUAUAGGAUUCAUGCCAAAUUAUGGGCAUGAACACUUCAACUCAAGGACUUCAUGAGUAAUAUGAAAUAGUUCCAUGAUUAGAAAAUAUAAUCUCAAAGGGGAUUGGGAACUCAAUACUCAAGACUUAGAACUUAAAGAUAUUACCCCUCUCAAUGAUGCUCAAUUUAUGAAGUCUAUGCGGAAUUUAUGGGCAUGAACGACUCGACUAGAAGGUCUACAAACUACAUGGAAUUCAUGUAUAUGACACUUCUCAUUCUCUUACUUACCACCUCAAAACUUAGUUCAAAUCGAUAGUUGAUCUCAAAGGAUUCACAAUUGAACUCAAAGGCUUUCUUGAACUCUAUUCUUAACUUUCUCUUGAAUGUGAAUUAUGAAUUCAAGAGUUAUGGUUCAUGAUAUGAAGGAUAUCAUGAUGACAAAGUAUAUUCAUGAAUACAUUCUCCUCAUCCUCAUACUCACUUGCUCGAGUCUUGAAACAAGUUACUAGAAGUUGUAGAAAACUCCUCAAAAGAGCUCAAAGGGGCUUUCUGAGAAUGUUCGAAAGAAUUCUCAAAACUUAACUCUUAACUCUACCUUGAAUUUGAAUUAUGAAUUCAAGGUUAUGAUAAUGUUAGGAAUGAUUUUAGGUGUUUAGAAGUAUCUUAGAGUAGUUAGAAUCGAAAAGGAGUGAAUGUACCCUUCGAAAGAACUCAAACGAAGCAACCGAUUGCAAACUGGACGGGGCAGGAGACCCUGGGGCUAUGGGUGGCGCGGGGAGCCAGCCCCUAAACUUCAGAGCAUACUUUGGGGCGCUCUGGUUGGCGCUACGCGCCAGGACCCAACCCAGAAGACCCGACGAAAUUCUUUGCUAGUUUUCUCACCCUAUUUCGCUUAGAAUCGAGCGGUUUCUUCCCCAAUCACUUGGAUUCGAUUAUUUAACAUAAGUACACUCUAAUAUAUUCAAUACAGCCCUAAAAACACUCACAUUAAUCUCAAGAAAUCAUCAAAACUUCAACAAAACAAGAUUUAAAAUGAACUUCAAGAACACCUAACAAGAAAUCAUCAAGAACUCUAAUCCUUCAACUUUAAGAACAAAAUUGCGCUGAAAACAACAUGAUUGGCGUGUUGGUGAACAAAUCCAACACUAUGGAAGCUUACAUACCUCUUAGGGAUUAAACCCAUGGCGAAAAUCCGCAACAAAAUGCAAGACUCUCGACGAACGCUUUGAUCAUCUCCUCUUUUCUCCUCUUUUCUCUUCUUGAACUCUCAACUAAAACUCUAGGCUAAUUUUAGGAUUAUAAAACUGAACCUAAUAGGAUUAGACCCUUAAAACCUUACUAAAAAUGAAUUAAAUCCGAUUUGGUAAGGAAAAGACUAAAAUACCCCUCUAAAAUCCGGUUUUGACUUUCCUUAUCUAGACAACCCAACUUCGAAUGCACAUAUCUCCCUCAUACCAACUCAAAAACUGAGAAAACUCGGUGGCGUUGGAAAGAUAAUUCAAAGAUCUUUCCUACGGUAUCUGGUAGCACACCUAAAUCAUUCUGAGAUAGGAGUUAUGGUCGUUUGAAGUCAACCCAAAACUCAUACUUAGCUUAACUUGCAAAAUUUCAAAUAUUUGUUAUUUCCAAUUUAGUUCUUUUUGAUACUCAGGUGCUACAUCUAGUGACCUGACCUUAACACUUAAGAAAUUUUAAAUUCCUUAGUAAAAUCCUACUCACAACGAAGGACGGUUCAAGUCUUAGCUCAAAAUUUUUCUGGGGUGUUACAAUAGCUAUAGUUUGAAUUAAUUACGGCUCGCAACUUAAUUUUAGCUUUAAUUACGCCACUUGUCCUCUUUUAUACAUAUACAAAUACAAAUUAUACACAUAUAUACUCUUAUCGUAUCAUUGACUAAUGAGUAAUUUCUUAACAAGAAACCUUAAUGAUACCAAUAAAGUAUAUAUAUACUGAUUUAGUAUCAAUUUAGCGAAAUUAUCAGCCUUAAUGAUAUCAAUACAGUAUAUGAUAUUGAUUUAGUAUCAGUUAAGCGAAAUUAUCAACCUUAAUGAUACAAAUACAGUAUAUGAUACCGAUUUAGUAUCAGUUAAGCGAAAUUAGUAAGAGGGUAUAUAGUGUAAUUAUUUAGUGGGGUAUGAAUGUAAUGCGGUAUAUGUUUGUAAUUAUUUUGCUUUUAUGGGGUAUUUGCUUAUUUUCCCCUUUUCAUAAAUCUAACUUGAGGUGGGCUGAGUUCUAUUAAAUGUCGGUUGGGCUUGUUUUGCAAUUUCUAAAAGCCCAUUAAGUUUUGGCAUCUAUAUAUAUUUGGGUCAUUCACCAUGAAGUUAAGGAUUAAAAAAAUUUCUUUCCAUAUGACAUUCAUAUUUAAACGAAUUUAAAUUAUAUAUACCAACAAUAUAAAGUCUACAAUCAGUAUAAUUUAACGUGUUCUAGUUAGCAUGUUGUUUACCUUGAUUUGCAGGUUAUUAAUUUCACUUAUAAUGAAGAGUCAUGAUCUAUAGUUACUUUUAGACGAGUUGACAGUAAGAAAAUUUCUUUAAAGCUCUAGCAUACAAUUUUUCGAGAAACAAAAAAUAUAACAAAUGGAGAUAAGCCUAAAAUACCUUCGAACUAUUGGAAACGGAGGUACACACCACUCUCUUCAGACCCCACUUGUGAAAUUACACUAGGUAUGUUACGUUGUUACUCUGUUUCACUUACAAAACACUUUUGCAAAAUAUCAUAUUUUUCUUUUUUUUCCCAUCAGUAGUCUUUGUGGAAAUUGGGUUAGACUUUGGUGGAAUAUUGAUGGAGUUCUAACAAGUCUUGUGGUAAUUUAUUGAGAAGUUUGUAAAACAGACUAAUCAAUUACUUGGAAUGAUCUUCACAAAAUUAUUCAAAACAUACUAACUAAUUAAGCAGGAAAACACAUAUCAAACAAAAUUUUAAAUAAAAUUCCACACGGUAUUGGAAAUUUGUCACAAAAUUCUGCAGAAAUAUUUUCUACCGUGAGUGUUACGUAACGAGACCAAUUAAUUCACAUCAUCUUGCAUAACACACGCUGCAGAGAUAUAUAGUCGAUGACCUUGAAAUGAAUAACAACAUCUAGAGAAAAUGAGGACAUAGGGAGUAUUAUUUUGUUAAGUCUUCUUCGUGCUCUGAAAAGUCUUGUGGAACACUAUAAAAUAAUGUGUAACACGUUGUUAGAAGUGACUAGUACUCAUUCAUGGACCACAAAUGACUGAAAAUUGACUUAACACUUGGGACAACUUUUUAGUAACCACAAAUUAUUACCCCAUUUUAUUUGUCUGGAUGUGUUUCUUUUCUUCGUUAAUUUAUAAUUGAUAGUCCCGUGCAUAAACAAGUCAACAACGCUGCUUUAUGAAUUACUGUUUAGUUAAUUGUUCACUUUAUUUAAUGUGGAGGUCGUUGUAAUAAUUAAGAAUUGGAAUAGUGUUUGGUUAAUUAUAGUGCAUCCUUUCUUAUGUGGCUACUUAUUUUAUUGACUUAUACAUGUCUUGACAAUUAUCAUGAACCCACAUCAUUAUUUUUACGUUUACCUUUUUUAUUCUUUCAUUAUUAAAUAUUCUAAAGUCUACCAAAUGGUAAAACCUUUUACAUUAUACAAAAUAUAUUGUUGGGUGUUAAUAAAAAGAUCAAUUUGUUUUUUGGUGUAUUCUUUAAAUUACAAGCACUACAACAAAAACAACUUUUAGCGGCAAUAAAUAUACACAUUAAUAAAGAGUGUUAAAGUUUUUACCAGCAUUGGUUAAGUAUCAUUAGAUUCAAUGUCGCUAAAAACUUUAGAGACAUACACAAAGAGGGUUAAUUGCCACUAAAAAUACAUUAUAUCAUUAUAUCAAAUUCAACACAACUAUUUCAAUAUCAUUAUAUAAACUUCUUAAAGUUUUGAGUAGGAUUUUAUUAUUCUAACUUUAUAUUAUAUCUUUUCAUUGAAAAUUUUCGUUGUUUGUAUUCUUACUUAAUAAAGGUUUGUGUACCUCCUACUUCCUUGAAACUCUACGCAGUAUGUUAUAAGUAUUUUAAUUUAUGUAUGACAACUAAAAAAAUAAUUAGAGGGCCUUGCCUGUAUGUUUUCAUAGAAUUUUGAUUAUUCUUACAAAUCUAUAAAAAAAUUACAAAGGACACUUAGAAAGUAGUAUAUAUAUGUGUGGAUAAUACUGAUUGAUUUGUAAGAACACAUCCAUCCUGUUAUUUGCUGAAAACAAACAAACAAAAAAUGGUGACUCUGUUUUUCUUUUAUUCAUUUCAGUGUUUUGUGUUGCUAAUAAGUGAAUGUUUUUCUUCAUCCUUUGAUCAUCGUCUUUGCUCUCCCACUGAAGCUUCUGCUUUGCUUCAGUUCAAACAAUCCUUUCAAAAUAUGUCCAGAGAGUCCUGUAAUUAUUCGUGUCAUGGAGAUUGUUUCCCAAUAACAAAGUCUUGGAAUGAGAGUAGGGAUUGCUGCACUUGGGAUGGAGUCACUUGUGACAUGUUAAACGGUCAUGUUAUCGCCCUGGACCUUAGUUGCAGUCAGCUUGUUGGCAAUUUUCAUCCCAACAGCAGCCUCUUCCAACUUCAUCAUCUCCAGACACUAAACCUUGCUUACAAUGACUUCAAUUGGUCUUCAAUCCCACAUAACAUUGGCCGAUUGACGAAUUUGAGGCAUCUCAACCUUUCAUGGUCUCACUUUAGUGGAAAAAUCCCAACAGAAAUCUCAUACCUUUACAAUUUGGUUUCACUUGAUCUUUCUGUGAUUGGAUUCCAACUUGAUGAGACAACAUUUGUAACAAUGCUUCACAACUUCACAAAUCUGGAGGUACUUUCUCUUUAUGGUGUCAACAUCUCAUCUCCGCUACCUGUGAACAUUUCUUCCUCCUUAAGGUACGUGGAUCUUGAAUAUACUAAUCUGCUAGGUGUUCUCACAGAGAGCUUUUUCCUUCUGCCAAACAGCUUGGAAACGCUCAAAUUGAGUGGGAAUGAUCUUCUCAAAGGAGUUUUUCCAAAGAUCCACCCGAGCAACACUCUGUUAAUGGAGUUGGAUAUUUCAUCCACAGGCAUCUCUGGUGAGCUGCCUCAUUCAAUUGGCACCUUCAGUUCCUUGAAUAUCUUGAACCUCGAACAAUGUCAAUUCUCUGGUUCCAUUCCUGAUUCCAUAGGCAACCUAACACAAAUUACGGAGUUGAUUUACUUGGGAAUCAGUAGUCAUAGGCUACACUUUUGGACUAGUUGUUGGAACUGUCAUGUGGAGUCUCAUGUUUAAAUAUCGUAAGCCAAAAUGGUUUGUGGAAUUUUUUGAUGGACUCAUGCCUCACAAAAGAAGAAGGCCAAAGAGAAGAGCUCAAAGACGACGGACUUAAUGGAAGAUUGAGAGGGCAACCUUGUCUUUGUUUGAUUUUGUGGACUAAUUACUGAACUUUUCUGGUUCUGUUUUUGUCUUUUUAAUUUUCUGUUUGUUGUUUGUAUAUGUUUGAAAGAAACAUAAUUAUAUGUGAGUCAUUUAAUUAGUAUCAAUGGUUAUUCAAGUUAUGUUAGUUUGUUUCUGUUUCAAGUUGAUAGAAGUGAUCUACACAGCCGCUCAUUAGCUAUGUUACUCAAACUCUUCAAAAUGUCAACGGGUACGUGUUGAAUUCUUCAAAAGUAGUACAAUUUUAAGGAACCAACAUUGGUGUCAUUAUAUUUUAGGAGAGUCGGAGCAACAUAACUCAUCAGCAUAACAAAACAGGAAAAAGCAAAGCAGUAAGCAAAUUGAUCAGUUUGGUUUAUGAUUGAAAUCACUUGAUAUUAGAAAGUUUAUAUUUUUGAAAAUUAAUGUAGAAGAGUAAUCAAAACUACAGAAUUGGCUAAUAAUUUUGUGGUUCUGCAUCUUUCUAAUCAUAAAUCAGCCAUAAAAUAUUCUCUAGCUCAGUUUCAACUUCCGCGAUUUUAAUUUUAGUAAGUUUUUACAUAUAUUUAUACUUCGUGGACGAAAGUUAUCUCUGGUUGUUCAACAACUAAUUCAUAUUGUUUGAUUAUCAAUGAAGGAAAGGUUUUUUUAAAGGGCAAAACGCUCUAUACGAGGAUUUUUUAUUAUUUUUCAAGUUUGAAUUCAAGACCUGUGAUUCAGUUUCAUCCGGAACUUUACUGUCUACAAAACUACAUGUCAAAGUUAUUUUUGAUGAACUAAAAUAGACUUAUUCCCAAAAUUUAAUUUAACGCAAAAAGAAAUAUAAUCAAAUUAUUUAAAAAUUAAGAAAGACAAAUUAAAACCUUUACAUAAUUUGACACAUGGCAAAAUAUAAUUGGCUAAAAUUUUGGUCCCACAAAUAGUCAACUCACCUGUCAAAAAAUGACAUUCCUAUUUUCUUUUCCUAAUUUUAGUUUGGACACUUUGAAAACAAUUAAAGUAUCUUUGUCUGGUUAUGGCCGUUCAAAGCUUUGAUUAUAACAAGAAAGAUGAUUGAAAAUAUCGGUUUUCUUCCUUUUAAUUGGUUUGUUUUAUUAUUUUUUUGAAAUUUAAUUUAUUUAUCGUACUUUAUACUUAAAUUUGUCUCAAAAAGAAUAAUACGUUUCACAUAUAUAUAUAUAUAUAUAUUUAAGACUAUAACAUUAAAAGAUAUUUUGAUAUGUUUUUUAUAUAACUUUAAUUUAAUAUUAUAUCAUUGAAAAUUCUUCUUUACUUAUAUAUUUUUUUUAUUUUGAAUUUUUAUAUUUCAAUAUUCCACGUGACACGUUAAAAAGUCACUUUAGUAGUAUAAGAUUCAAAAGAUUUUUUUUUCACUUUGUUAAACUUAUAUCAAGUCGAUAGAAACUAGACAAACAAAUUAAAACGAAGUCACACUUUUCAAUACAUAUUCCAACUUUCAUUGAGUCUGAAGAUAUACUUUCUGAUUUAUUUAUUUUCAAGAAUUUACCUGUUGGAAGAACCCCACCAGAAGAAAACUCCAAAAAACAGACUAAAAAUCCCAACUUUGAGUUUUUCUUUCAACAAUUAUAAGUUUCAGUGAAAAUCUCAAGAUGUAAUUUUUUUCAAGAAUUCAUCUUUUAGGAAAACCCCAUAAGAAGAAAACUCCAAAAACAGAUUCAAAAUCUCACCUUUUUUUUAGAUCUUUUCAACAUUUUUCAGUUUAUUAGCUUACAAAAAUCACUGAACAAGGAAGAAGGGAUUCAAGAAAAAGUGGAAUAAAAAUGUCAUUUGUUUUAGGGGUUGUGUUUGGAAUAGCAUUUGGACUUGCUAUAAUAGUUGCUUUUGUGAAAUCUGAAAAUGCUAGAUCCAAACAACGUACUGAUCUGGUUAGUCAACUAAAGUCUUUGUUUUUUUUGGAUCUUUAUUUUUUUCCAUUUCUGGGUUUUUUUUUUGUAUUUAUGUUGUUUUUUUGGUUGAAUUGUAAAGGCUAGUGGAAUUGCUGCAUUUGCUAGAAUGACAGUGGAAGAUUCAAGAAAAAUCUUUACACCAGAACAAUACCCUUCUUGGGUUGUUUUCUCAAAUCAACAAAAGGUGAAGUCGUUUAACUUUUCUUUAAGAUGUAUUUGGUAGGACGCAGAGGCGGAGUCAGAAUUUUUAGUUUAUAUGGGUUCUAGACCACUGUUCUUUUUGUUUUGUUGGGUUUCUGAAAGCUAUGUUGCUCGGACUCUCAGAAAAUGUUGUUUGUACCCAUUCUGGAUUCUCUAAAGUUGCACUAGUUUGGAGUAUACGACACUAACCAUCAACCGUAACCAUUUUUGAAGAGUCCGAACAACAUUGACUGAAAAGACUAUUUUUACAUCUUAUAACAUUAAUAUAGGGUUAAACCAAAGCUACUGGAUUUUGAUGUACUUGUAGCUAAAGCAAUGUCAUUUAUCAUAAAUCUGUAAACUGACUUAUUUUCUAGAAAAUGUUUUUCGUAAUGGAUUUUUUUUUCUGGGAAAAGACAUUUAAUCGGAUAGUGUUUGGUGAAAAUAUUUGAGUAGUAAAGAUUGAUAAUAAUGUUUAUAUGUUGAGAUAAUUGUUUGCUCCUUUUUGGUGGAAAAUGUUUUCGCAAAACAUAUGUUCUAGCAGCCAAAAUCAGAAAAAAGAGAUUACAAACACACCGUUGAUGUCCUUAUCUGUUUUUGGAGCACAUAGUGACCAUAUAAGAUCAUUGAGAUUAAAUUCAUGCAUUAUGGUUCAAAUUGUGGUCUUUGGUUGCAAGACUGUCCCUUUAUGGACUUUGUUUAAUUUCUAUCUAGAAUACAUCUUGUGAUUUAGUUUGUUGAGGGCAAAAAAUGACCUUUUGAAUUUUUCAAUUUUGUUCUUACAGUUGGCAUGGCCAGAUGUUGUGAUUUAGUCAACUAAAGUUUUUGUUUUUUCUUACUUCAAUUUUUUUGGAUUUUUAGUUUUUUCCAUUUUUGGGGUUUUCUGUAUUUAUGUUGUUUUUUUGGUUGAAUUGUUAAGGCUAGUGGAAUUGCUGCAUUUGCUAGAAGGACAGUGGAAGAUUCAAGAAAAAUCUUCACACCAGAACAAAUACCCUUCUUGGGUUGUUUUCUCAAAUCAGCAAAAGAUGAAGUCUUUAACUUUUCUUUAGGAUGUAUUUGGUAGGACGUAGUGGCUGAGUCAGAAUUUUUAGUUUAUAUGGGUUCUAGACCAUUGGUUCUUUUUUGCUUUGUUGGGUUUCUGAAAAUUAUGUUGUUCGGACUCUCAAAAAAUGUUGUUUGUACCCGUGUCGGAUUCUCUAAAGUUGCACUAGUUUGGAGUAUACGCCAGUAACCCAUCACCCAUCACCAUUUUUGAAGAGUCCGAGCAACAUUGACUGAAAAGACUAUUUAUACAUCUUAACAUUAAUAUAGGGUUAAACCAAAGCUACUGGAUUUUGCCGUACUUGUAGCUAAAGCAAUGUCAUUUAUCAUAAAUCUGUAAAAUGACUUAUUUUCUGGAAAAUGUUUUUCGUGAUGGAUUUUUUUCUGGGAAAAGACAUUUAUUGUAGAUUGAAUCAGCAAAUUGGAUAGUGUUUUGGUGAAAAAUAUGUGAGUAGUAAAGAUUGAUAAUAAUGUCUAUAUGUUGAGAUAAUUGUUGUUCCUUUUUGAUGGAAAAUAAGAUUUUACCAAACACACUGUUGAUGUCCUUUACUGUUUUUGAGCACAUAGUGACCAUAUAAGAUCAUUGAGAUUAAAUUAGUGCAUUAUGGUUCAAAUUGUGGUCUUUGGUUGCAAGACUGUCCCUUUAUGGACUUUGUUUAAUUUCUAUCUAGAAUACAUCUUGUGAUUUAGUUUGUUGAGGGCAAAAAAUGACCUUUUGAAUUUUUCAAUUUUGUUCUUACAGUUGGCAUGGCUUAAUUCUCAUCUUGAAUAGAUCUGGCCAUAUGUGGAUGAGGUUAGGGGUUCAAUGUCUAUACAUAGUUUAGUUUUCCACUCUAUUGCGAUUCUGCAAUUUUUCAUUUCCCCCUUUUUUUGGUUCUAAUUUAUGAUUGUUUGAACUUCUUUGUUGCUAAUUGAGUCGGUAUGGGUAUAUAUGGUAAUUCAGGCAGCAUCAGAACUAGUAAAGUCAAGUGUGGAGCCAGUUUUGGAACAAUAUAGGCCUGUGAUUUUGGCGUCGUUAAAAUUUUCAAAGUUCACUCUUGAUACAGUUGCUCCACAAUUCACAGGUUAGUAGAUUAUGGCUGGUGUAACCUGCCUCAAAGCUCUUGUAUAUUGUACUACCUAAAAGUUUUAGGAGUCACUUAUACAUAUGAACAAACUUAUCAGUCCUCUAGGUCUUUAUGGCAUGCUUAUGUCUGGAGUAGCGUAACAUUUCCCUGCACGGACACCACCACCAUCAAAAAAAAAAAACGGCAUAACAUUUUCUUGCCAUUUAUAGCCUCUUGAGAUGUCAAAAUGUGACAAAUAAUUUGAGACAGGCAAGGGUAUAAAAGAUAUUCAAACCUCAAAGAGCAAUCCUAUCAUCUCGUGUCAGUUAAUCCUUAAUAAAAGAAACUGCUUGUGAGGAUGAAUCUCACUACAUUUAACAAAUGCUUGAUCUCAUGUAUAUGCCACUGCAGGGAUUUCUAUUAUUGAAGAUGGAAGUGAGGGUAUUACUAUGGAAUUAGAGAUGCAAUGGGAUGGUACCAUACCAUCUUGGGUGUUUAGCCUACCUUUGCUAUCUUCAGUGUCGCUCCAACAUAACCGAUUCAGAGGUCUAGCUGAUGAAGUGAUCAAAACCGCUCCAACAUAACCGAUUCGGAGGACUAGCCGAUGAAGUGAUCAAAACAAACCCAACAUUAAAACAACUGCAUUUAAGCAAUAAUCAACUCAGUGGUUCUUUUCCUCAAUCACUUGUGAAUCUCACAAACCUUAAAACCCUUGGACUUUCAUCAAAUAACAUCACCAUUGAUGAGGGAAUGAAUAUCACCUUUCUUAGCCCAUCAUCUUUAUUCUUAUCAUCUUGUCAACUGAAGGAUUUUCCACACUUCUUGAGAAAUGUAAAGACACUUGUGUACUUGGAUAUUUCUAACAAUAUGAUUCGUGGUCAAAUUUCUGACUGGUUUAGCGGCAUGAGGUGGGACAACUUGUGGUACCUAAAUAUUUCACAUAAUCUUUUGACAGGUUACCUACCACAAUUGCAUUUCCAUAAUCUAGGGUAUCUUGAUCUGAAAUUUAACUCCCUUCUGGGUCCACUACCCUCAUCCAUUUGUAACAUGAGUUCGCUUAUCUUAUUAGAUUUAUCACGCAACAACUUCAGUAACUACAGUUUCGUAUGAGGAUUCAUUGAGUUUGGUAAUCAAAGGGCAGGAUAUUGAGCUACAAAGAAUCAACACAAUUAUGACAACCAUAGAUCUCUCAAGCAAUCAUUUUGAAGGUGUGAUUCCGAAAACACUAAAGGAUCUCAGCUCACUUUGGCUACUCAAUUUAUCCCAUAACAAUCUCAUAGGUCAUAUUCCAAUGGAACUAGGGCAAUUGAAUACGCUUGAAGCUUUAGAUCUCUCUUGGAAUUGGCUCACUGGAAAUAUUCUGCAGGAACUGACAAGAAUGAACUUUCUGGCCUUCUUAAACGUCUCUCAAAAUCAUCUUGUCGGACCAAUUCCUCACGGUCUACAGUUCAACACAUUCGAAAAUUAUUCGUAUGGCGGAAACCUUGAUUUAUGUGGUCUUCCUUUAUCAAAGCAAUGUGGAACGAGUGAUUCAUCACAUGUUCCUCAACCAUUGGAGUCCGCAGAAGAAGGCGAGUCAUAUUUUUUUAGUGGAUUUUCUUGGGAAUUAGUAGUAAUAGGCUACAGUUUUGGACUUGUCGUUGGAACUGUCAUGUGGAGCCUCAUGUUUAAAUAUCGUAAGUCAAAGUGGUUUGUGGAAUUUUUUGAUGGACUCAUGCCUCACAAAAGAAGAAGGCCAAAGAAGAGAGCUCAGAGACGAAGGACUUAAUGGAAGCUUGAGAGGGCUAAAUUGUCUUUGUUUGAUUUUGUGGACUAGUGAACUGUUCUGUUUUUGUCUUUUUUUAAUUUUCUAUUUGUUGUUUGUAUAUGUUAGAAACAUAAUUAUAUGUGUGUUAUUGUAGUAUUCAAUUUAUGUUAGUUUGUUUCUGUUUCAAAUUGACAGAAGUGAUCUACACAGCAACUCUAGCUAUGUUACUUAGAUUUUUCAAAAAUGUCAACGGGUACGUGUUGGAUUCUUCAAAAGUUGUGUAUUUAUUAAGGAACCAACAUGAGCAGUGGCGGAUCCAGGAUUUUCAUUAAGGGGUUCGAAAAAAAGAGAGCAGUGCUUAAGAUUUGAGGUUUGAACCCCUCAACCACUAAACUAACCUCUAAUCUUAUAUUCAGGAGGUUCAAAAUCAAUAUAUAAACAUAAAAAUUCUUUAAAAUACCUUAAAUAUACAACAUAAUUUUUUGCCGAGGGAGUUGGUCCACCCCUGAACAUGGGUGCGACAUCAUCAUAUUUUAGGAGAGUCCGAGCAACAUAGCUCAUUAAUACAACAAAAUUGGAUAAAGCAGUGCAGUAAGCAUAUAGAGUUUGGUUCAUGAUUGAAAUUAGUUGAUAUUAGAAAGUUUAUAUUUGUGAAAAUUGAUGUAGAAGAAUGCUCAAAACUACAGAAGUGGCUAAUAAUUUUGUGGUACUUCAUCUUUCUAGUCAUAAAACAUCCUUAAAAUGUUCUCUAACUCAGUUUCAACUUCUGCAAUUUUUAUUUUGGUAGAUUUUUACAUAUAUUUAUACUUCAUGACGAGUGUUAUGUCUCACGUGAUCCAACAACUAAUUCAUACUGCUUGAUUAUGAAUGAGGAAAUUUUUUUGUUUUUGGGAAAAAUGCUCUCUGGAAUCGGCUCACUGGAAAGAUUCCAAGGGAACUGACAAGACUAAAAUUCCUGGCAGUCUAAAAACUCUGUCUGAAUGUUCUUUUUAGACCGAUUGCAUGCUCCUCGUCCAUUGGAGUCCGAAGAAGAAGAAGAAGAAGAGAGUCGUAUUUUGCUAGUUGUGGAUUAAUUGUUGUAACUGUCAUGUGGCACCUCAUGUUUAAAGAUGGUAAGCUGAACAUGUGAUCCUUCAAUACAAUUAGUCUCUCAGUUUUUUUUGCUUGAGUAUCAUUUUUUUUAUCUUCUUAAUUUGAUCACUAUACCUUUAUCUUGAGUCGAGGGUCUACAGAAACAACAUCUCCACUACUUUGGUUAUUUUCCAUCUCUUCAUAUUUGAACUGUAUCAUAUAGAUGGAAUUUCCCUCAUUAACUUAAUGUUAAAAAUCUUUUGGAAAACAGCACAAGAGACAACUAAUCGGAAAUUUCUCUACAGGUGGAAGGAUCUUCACCAAGUUAUUCAGAACAUACUAAUUAAGCAGGAAAACACAGAUCAAACAAAAUUUUGUAUAAAAUUCCACAAGGAGGAAAUGAAGGACUUAAAUCAUGUCUUUAAUUAUUGUUCAUUUUUUUCCUCACUUGACUUAGUCAAGCAAUAGUUUCUACCAUUUGAAAUUUCUAAGAAGUUCUGCAGAAAUUUUUUCUACAUAAUGGGACCAAUUUCACAUUAUCUUGCGUAACACACUGCAGAGAUAGUUAAUGACUUUGAAAUGAACACAACAUCAAGAGAAAAAUAGGACAUAGAGAGUAUUAUUUUGUUAAGUCUUCUCCGUCCUCUAAAAAGUCUUGUGGAACACUACAAAAUAUGAGUAUCAAGUUGUUAGAAGUGAGUAGUACUCAUCUUGUAAUUCAAUUGUUCAUCAGUCCCGAUUCAUCAUAAUCUUUUUUUUUCCUCUAGUCUUUGUGGAAAUUGGCUUAAAGUCUUACAAGUCAUCGUCCGCUAGUUACAAUACUGUAUCACUUUUUUCCUUAGUUGGAAUGGAAUAUUGAUGGAUUUUCCCUUAUUUACUUAAUGUGAAAAUUAUUGUGUACCUAACAAGUUUGAAAAUAGCAGAAGAGACAACUAAUCACUCACUCGGAUUGACCUUUUCUGAUUGUAUAGAUUUCAUGGAAAAAUUGCACCAAAAUUUAUUUAAUCCUCAAUUGACUUGGUCAUGCAACAGUUUCUCUUUGAAAAGUAUUGUGGAAAACAGAAGAGAUGUUGAUGGAAAGUUGGACAAGGUUGACAUAAAACAGGAGUUCAAAUAACUAUAAAAUAUGUAUGGAUUUUGAAAAAACAGAACAUUCUGUAAUAUGCUGUAAACAAAAAGUAAUUCCCGUGACCAGUUCAGUUCAAGGUUGGUCACGGGAGGGUUGAAUAAAAAUCACUUGAAAGUUGUUAAGGGGGUAUUUAAAUGUUCAUGUAGUUUAAGUCCUAAAGUAAAUUUGGCUAUCAAGUUUGAGGGUGAUUUUAGGAUUUUUCUCAAAAGUUAGCAGUCAAAUUGAAAAAAGUGUUCAAAUUGGGAAAAUAUGUAAAAAUUGUUAUUUUCCAUCUCUUCCUAUUUGAACUGUAUCAUAUAGAUGGAAUUUCCCUCAUUAACUUAAUGUGAAAAGUCUUCAGCACAAGAGACAACUAAUCGGAAAUUUCUCAUAAAAUUUCUCUGCAGGUGGAAUGAUCUUCACCAAGUUAUUCAAAACAUACUAAGCAAGCAGGAAAUGAAGGACUUAAAUCAUGUCUUUAAUUAUUGUUCAGUUUUUUCCUCACUUGACUUAGUCAAGCAAUAGUUUCUACCAUUUGAAAUUUCUAAGAAGUUCUGCAGAAAUUUUUUCUACAUAAUAGGACCAAUUUCACAUCAUCUUGUGUAACACACACUAUAGAGAUAGUUAAUGACUUCGAAAUGAACACAACAUCUAGAGAAAAUGAGGACAUAUGGAGUAUUAUUUUGUUAAGUCUUCUCCGUCCUCUAACAAGUCUUGUGGAACACUACAAAAUAUGAGUAACAAGUUGUUAGAAGUGACUAGUACUCAUUUUUGAUUCAAUUGUUCAUCAGUCCCGAUUCAUCAUAAUCUUUUCCCCCCCUCUAGUCUUUGAGGAAAUUAUCUUAAAGGCUUACAAGUCAUCGUCUGCUAGUUACAGUACCGUAUCCCUUUUUUCCUUAGGUGGAAUGGAAUAUUGAUGGAUUGUCCCUUAUUAACUUAAUGUGAAAAUUAUUGUGUACCUAACAAGUUUGAAAAUAGCAGAAGAGACAACUAAUCACUGACUCGGAAUAUUGACCUUUUAUGAUUGUAUAAAUUCCAUGGAAAAAUUGCAUAAAAAAUUAUUGCAUUCUUUGUGGAAAUUGUCUUAUUAAAGACUUUGGCUUCAAAGAACAAAAUAAAAUUCCACACGGUAUUAUUGUUUUGUUGUUACAUACUCUUAAGUUGAUGUCUUUAAUUAUUCUUCAUUUUUUUUCCUCACUUCAUGACUUAGUCAAGCAAUAGUUUCUCUCAUUGGAAAUUUUUCACAACUUAUGCAGAAAUAUUUUCUACUGUGAGUGUUACGUAACUUGACCAAUUUCACAUCAUCUUGCGUAACACACACCGUAGAGAUAGUCGAUCGAUGAUCUCGAAAUGAACAACAACAUCUAGGGAAAAUGAUGUGUACCAAGUCGUUAGAAGUGACUAGUACUCAUUCAUGGACCAUAUGUGACUGAAAAUUGACUUUACACUUGGGACAACAUUUUUUGCAACCACAAAUUAUUACCCCAUUUAUUUAAUUAUCUAUGUGUUUCUUUUCUUUCGUUAAUUUAUACCUCAAUAGUCCCAUGCAUAGACAAGUCAACAACGUUACUUUAUGAAAUAUUGUUUAGUUAAUUGUUUACUUUAUUUAAUGUGGAGGUUGUUGUAAUAAUUAAGAAAUGGAAUAGUGUUUAGUUACUUAUAGCAUCCUUUCCUACAUGGCUACUUAUUUUAUUGACUUAUUUAUAUCUUGGCAAUUAUCAUGAAUUUUGAUAAUGCAUGUUUUCAUUGAACACGGGUGCAACUUAGAAAGUAGUAUAUAUAUGUGUGGAUAAUACUGAUUGAUUUGUAAGAAGAACACAUCCAUCCUGUUAUUUGCUGAAAACAAACAAACAAAAAAUGGUCAUGAGUCUGUUUUUCUUUCAUUCAUUUCUGUAUUUUGUGUUGCUAAUAAGUAUGUUUUUCUUCUUCCUUUGAUCAUCAUCUUUGCUCUCCCACCGAAGCUUCUGCUUUGCUUCAGUUUAAGCAAUCUUUUGGAGUUGAUUACAACUACUCCAAAUGUUUUACUUCUUUCCCAAAAAGAAAGUCUUGGAAUGAGAGUAGGGAUUGCUGCAGUUGGGAUGGAGUCACUUGUGACUUAUUAAACGGUCAUGUUAUCGGGUUAGACCUUAGUUGUAGUCUGCUUAGUGGAAGUAUUCAUCCCAAUAGCACCCUCUUCCAACUUCAUCAUCUCCAGGCACUAAACCUUGCUUACAAUCACUUCAGCUAUUCUUCAAUCCCACAUAACAUUGGCCGAUUGACAAAUUUGGUUUCGCUUGAUCUUUCUUCUGAUUUUUAUGGACUACAACUUGAUGAGAGAACAUUUGAAACAAUGCUUCAAAACUUGACAAAUCUGGAAGUACUAUCUCUCUUUCUUGUCAACAUCUCAUCUCCGAUGCCUGUGAAUAUUUCUUCCUCUUUAAGGUACCUGGAUCUUCGUUAUACUAAUCUGCGAGGUGUUCUAACAGAGAGCUUUUUCCUUCUGCCAAACAGCUUGGAAACGCUCAAACUGAGUGGGAAUGAUCUUCUCAAAGGAGUUUUUCCAAAGAUCCACCGGAGCAACACUCUGUUAAUGGAGUUGGAUAUUUCAUACACAGGCAUCUCUGGUGAGCUGCCUCAUUCAAUUGGCACCUUUAGUUCAUUGAAAUACUUAAACCUCCAAGGAUGCCAAUUCUCUGGUUCCAUUCCUAAUUCCAUUGACAACCUAACCCAAAUUACGGAGUUGAUUUUAUCUUAUAAUCAUUUCACUGGACAUAUUCCUUCCACAAUCUCUAAAUUGAAGUACCUCACAAAUUUACAUCUUUCUGACAACUCCUUUUCAGGUGAAAUUCCUGAUGUUUUUUCUAAUCUCAAAGAGCUACGUUAUUUAGAUCUUUUUAAUAACAGCUUCAUCGGUCCAUUUCCUGCUUCAAUUUUAAGUUUGACACAUCUUGAAUACUUAGGAUUGUCGAGUAAUUCCCUAUCUGGCCCACUGCCUAGCAAAGCAAGCAUGCUUCAAAAGCUAUCCGAACUGCAUUUGUCUUACAACUCGCUGAAUGGUACCAUACCAUCUUGGGUGUUUAACCUCCCUUUGCUAUCUUCGUCGUGGCUCAAUCAUAAUCAAUUUAGUGGACUAGCCGAUGAGAUCAAAACAAACCCAACAUUAGAAUUCCUGUAUUUAAAUAAUAAUCAACUCAGCGGUUCUUUUCCUCAAUCACUUGUGAAUCUCACAAACCUUUCUACCCUUGACCUUUCAUCAAAUAACAUCACUAUUGAUGAGGGAAUGAAUAUCACCUUUCCUAGCCUUGAAAUUUUGCAGUUAUCAUCUUGUGAACUGAAGGAUUUUCCACACUUGUUGAGAAAUGUAAAGACACUUCAGGUCUUGGAUAUUUCUAACAAUAAGAUUUGUGGUCAAAUCCCUAACUGGUUUAGCGGCAUGAGGAUGGGACUCGUUGCAGCUAUUAAACCUUUCUCAUAAUUCAUUAACAGGCCACCUACCACAAUUUCAUUUCCAUAAUCUAGUGUCUCUUGAUCUGAAAUUUAACUCCCUUCAGGGUCCACUACCUUCAUCCAUUUGUAACAUGAGCAGACUUUUCUUAUUAGAUUUAUCACAUAACUACUUCAGUGACUCAGUUGCACAUUGCUUGGGAAGCAUGGCUAGUCUAACCGUGCUAGACUUGAGAAGGAACAAUUUCAUAGGGAAUCUUCCCCCAUUAUGUGCACAGGGCACUUCAUUGAGUACCAUUGUCGUAAAUGGUAAUCGAUUUGAAGGACCUGUACCUGUGUCGUUGCUCAAGUGUAAUGUUCUAGAAGUCCUUGAUGUGAGGAACAAUGCUAUAAAUGACACAUUUCCAGCUUGGCUCGGAACUCUUCAAGAGCUGCAGGUCCUUAUAUUAACGUCGAACAAGUUCCAUGGACCUAUAAGUACUUGUCAGACUAAGCUUUGCUUUCCCAACUUGCAAAUUUUUUAUCUUUCUCGUAAUGAUUUCAGUGGCUCACUUCCUGCAAAAGUUUUUGGAAACUUCAAGGCAAUGAUCAAAUUAGAUGACGAAGACACAAGAGAGAUCAAGUACAUGGAAUCUAAGUCAAAUUUGUCAUUUGACACAUCUUAUGAGGAUUCAGUGAGUUUGGUAAUCAAAGGGCACGAUAUUGAGCUACAAAGAAUCAGCACAAUUACGACAACCAUAGAUCUCUCAAGCAACCAUUUUGAAGGUGUCAUUCCGGAAACACUAAAGGAUCUCAGCGCACUUUGGCUACUCAAUUUAUCCCACAACAAUCUCAUAGGUCAUAUUCCAAUGGAAUUGGGGCAAUUGAAUACACUUGAAGCUUUAGAUCUCUCCUGGAAUCGGCUCACUGGAAAGAUUCCGCAGGAAUUGACAAGAAUAAACUUUCUAGCAGUCUUAAACCUCUCCCAAAAUCAUCUCGUCGGACCAAUUCCUCAAGGUCCACAAUUCAACACAUUUGGAUAUGACUCAUAUGGUGGCAACCUUGAUUUAUGUGGUCUUCCUUUAUCAAAGCAAUGUGAAACAAGUGAUUCAUCACAUGUUCCUCAACAAGAAGAUGAAGGCGAGUCAUAUUUUUUUAGUGGAUUUACGUGGGAAUCAGUAGUCAUAGGCUACAGUUGUGGUCUAGUUGUUGGAACUUUUCAUGUGGAGUCUCAUGUUUAAAUAUCGUAAGCCAAAAUGGUUUGUGGAAUUUUUUGAUGGACUCAUGCCUCACAAAAGAAGAAGGCCAAAGAAGAGAGCUCAGAGAUGACGGACUUAAUGGAAGAUUGAGAGGGUAACCUUGUCUUUGUUUGAUUUUGUGGACUAAUUAGUGAACUUUUCUGGUUCUGUUUUUGUCUUUUCAAUUUUCUAUUUGUUGUUUGUAUAUGUUUGAUAGAAACAUAAUUAUAUGUGUGUUAUUCAAGUUAUGUUAGUUUGUUUCUGUUUCAAGUUGAUAGAAGUGAUUUACACAGCCACUCAUUAGUUAUGUUACUCAGACUCUUCAAAAAUGUCAACGACUACAUAUUGAAUUCUUCAAAAGUAGAGCAUUUUUUAUGAAACCAACACAAAUGCAACACCAUUUUAUUUUUAGGAGAGUCGGAGCAACAUAGCUCAUCAGCAUAACAAAAACAGGAAAUUGCACAAGCAAAUAGAUCAGUUUGGUUUAUGAUUGAAAUCACUUGAUAUUAGAAAGUUUAUAUUUUUGAAAAUUUAAGUAGAAGAGUACUCAAAACUACAUAAUUUGCUAAUAAUUUUGUGGUUCUGCAUCUUUAGAAUCAUAAAUCACUUAAAAUGUUCUCUAACUCAAUAUCAACUUCCGCAAAUUUAAUUUUAGUAAGUUUUUACAUAUAUUUAUACUUCGUGUACGAAAAAUAAUGUCUCUGGUUGUUCAACAACUAAUUCAUAUUGUUUGAUUAUCAAUGCGGAAAAGGUUUUUUUAAAAGGGCAAAAUGUUCUAUACAAGGAUUUUAGAAGUGACUAGUACUCAUUCAUGGACUACAAGUGACUUUGAGUCUUCCUGGAAAUUGACUUAACACUUAGGACAACCACAAAUUAUUUGUUUGGAUGUGUUUCUUUUCUUUCGCUAAUUUAUACCUCAAUAGUCCCAUGCAUAGACAAGUCAACAACGCUACUUUAUGAAAUACUGUUUGGUUAAUUGUUCACUAUAUUUUAAUGUGGAGGUCGUUGUAAUAAUUAAGAAAUGGAAUAGUGUUUGGUUAAUUAUAGCAUCCUUUCUUCCGUGACUACUUAUUUUAUUGACUUAUUUAUAUGUUGACAAUUAUCAUGAACCCAUAUUAUAUUAUUACUAGGUAAAUUACCCGUGCUUCGCACGGAAUUGAACUAUUUUAUUAAGCUUACAUAUGAUCAUUCGAUAAUAUUCAUAUUUUCGAUACAUACACUACAUUGUCAAGAUCAUUUUAUCUUAAGGCAAAACGUUCCUCCAAAAUCUUAAAGUGCUAUAUUUUUUUAAUUUUCAUUUUUGUUAUACAAAUAUUAUGAGUCAUAGAUAGAUUUUAAGUAUAAGAAAGAAGUCUAAGAAAAUCUCCUUGGAAAUAGUUGGUCAGAAGUAAUGGAAUAUUUUUAAUUCCAAGAAGUUAUAAAGAACAACAUCAGACGUUAAUAAAGAGACCAAAAAAGGUCGAACAACAACACUUCCAAGUAAAGUGGAGUAUCACGUCCAUACAAGAUCAUAAUUAACUAAAUUCAAAUGGACGACCAUGGACUCCUUUCUUAUGAACCUCCAUCAAUCUCUUUUUUAUUAUUGUAUGCCAUAUCAAGUAUAUGCUAAAAAUGACCCUAAAAUUGUUAUUAUCAUAAAUGUUUUUUUGUCAUUGUCUCAAAAUAGUCAUUACUAUUUUAAAGGUUUCAUAUCACCGGCCCCAACUUAUUUGGAUUAAACCAUAGUUAUUGUUAUGGUUAUAGUAUGCAGUUACAAAAAAAUUAAUGCAAUUAUCAGCCAAGCAAUAGGUGACAUCUGAAUGUUCACAACGGGAUAUUCUAAACAAAAAAUUUGACACAUAACAUAUUAAAAUCUCACAACAUAAUUUUGUGAGCACUUGAACUCACAAAUAUCCUAAAAUAAUAAUAAAGACAAUCUUACUUUCCUAACAAUCAAGAAGAAAAAGGCUCGUUGCUUAAUAUAUUUUUCAAAAAGAUAGUCUUUCGGGUUGUAUCCAAGUUCACAGUUCACAAAUUUAGUUGAAAGAAGCCAAAAGAAAGAGUUAUUACUUCUUUAUCAAAAAAAUUUAAAACUUUAUCAAAAGAAUGAGUUAUCACUACAACAAAAAUGAUCUUUAACGAUAAUUAAUAGCUUAAUUAUCGCUAAAUAUGUAUUUUCAGAGGCAAUUGGUACUCUGUAUAAAUGUUCCUAAAGUCUAUAGCAACAUUGAAUCCAAUGACAGUUAAUUCAUGUCGGUAAAGGCUGUAGCACUCUUCGUGAACGUGCAUAUUUAUUGCCGAUAAAAAAUAUUUUUGUUGUAGUGUAUUUUGGACAUUUGUUAGUUUUAAGAAAACUUGAUCUCUUAUUAUGCCCAAAAAGAAGAGAAGAGGAAAUAUGACAAAUUAGUUAACUUGCGAUAAAUGAUGUGGACUAAUUGUCUCUAUACAAAUUUUCUAGGAAUAGUGCAAUGGCAUACAAAAUGUUUGUACCUAAGAAAAAACAAUCAAAAUAAUAUACUAACUGUGGCAAACAAGAGAGAAAUCAUUUUGGUUCUUUUAACAAACUUCAUCAUUGGUUCCGUACUAGUUAUCAGAUUUUUGUUGUUGUGUGCUAUCAAAUAUAGCACAACCCACAAGCAAUUUUCCCAAAAAGUAUAUGAAGAAAAACUGUAGAAAGGGACAAAAGAGAAGAUAAACUUUCAAUCAUCCUCAUUGAAAUUUUGAACAUAAUUAAAAAAAAAGUCACCAAAAUAGCAAAAAGAAAUUGCAAUAGAUACAUGAAUCACUAUGAUUUAUAGUAAAAAAUUAAGCUUCAUGAAAUAGGAGGAAAAAAACUUUGAGAAAUGAAAUGCACUUUAUAAGAAACUUAAUUAAUGUAUUUGAUUUCGAAAAAAAAUACAAAUAAUAGUGGUAGAAAUAAAAGAUUUGUUUACUAAAGAACCAAAUGUAAUGAAUUCAGUCAUCAACCAUUUCAGCAGUGUUAUGAGUUGUGCACUGAGAGAUCCAAGAGCAGUAAUGUCGCAUUGCAAUUGAAAUCAAUUUUCUUUGUUUAUAUGAAGAAACCUGUAGAAAGUGACAAAAGAGAGGAUCAAUUUUCAAUCAUCCCUGCUGAAACUUUAACAGAGUUAAAAAAAAGGUCACCAAAAUAGGAAAAUGAAAUUGCCAUAGUUACAUGAAUCACCAUGACUUACAAUAAAGAUUAAGAUCCAUGAAAACUUUUAGGAAUGAAAAAAAUUCCUAAAAACUUAAUUAAUGUAUUUGAAUUUGACUACCCUAUAGAGGGAAAAAAACCUACAAAUUAUAGUGGCAGGAAAUUCCUCUAUUUAUAGACAACAUAGAGUAGUGUGAACAAAUUUUUAUUGUGCCUUAUCCGAGAUGUCACAACUCUUUGGAAAAGUUACAACCCUUCAGAAAGGUCACAACCUUUCAUAAAAGUCAUAAUUUUUCAUAAAAGUUGCAACUCUUCAUAAAAGUCACAACUUUUCAUAAAAGUCACAGCUUUUAAUGAAAAGGGAAGGCUAGUUUUGGAAAUAAAUAAAAUUUAAAAGGGAAUCCUAGUUUAUGGUGGCGCCACGUAGGCGGGCCUAGGGUUCUCUUUUAUAUAAAUUUUUGAUUUUUGAUAUAUGAUUUUUACGUUUACCUUUUUUAUUCUUCUUUCUAUUUUUAUUCUUUCAUUAUUAAAUAUUCUAAAGUCUAACCUUUUGCAUUAUACAAAAUAUAUUGUUGGGUGUUAAUAAAAAUAUCAAAUUUAUUUUUUGGUGUAUUCUUUAAAUUACAAGCACUACAACAAACACUACAAUAAAAACAACUUGUUGCGGUUUCUGAACCUUUCAUAUAAUUCAUUAACAGGCCACCUACCACAAUUUUAUUUCCAUAAUCUAGGGUAUCUUGAUCUUAAAUUUAACUCCCUUCAGGGGCCACUAUCUUCAUCCAUUUGAAACAUGAGCAUACUUAGACUUGGGGAAAUUGAAUGUGCUUGAAGCAAUGAUUAAAUUAGAUGACGGAGACAAAGGUGAGAUCAAAUAUAUGGAACAAUUGAGUGAAUAUUCAAUGUAUGAAGAUUCAGUGAGUUUGGUGAUCAAAGGCCAUGAUACUGAGCUAGAAAAAAUCAACACAAUUAUGACAACCAUAGAUCUCUCAAGCAACCAUUUUGAAGGUGUCAUUCCAAAAAUACUAAAGGAUCUUGGCUCACUUCGGUUACUCAAUUUAUCACGUAACAAUCUCAAAGGUGAUAUUCCAAUGGAACUGGGGCAAUUGAAUGUGCUUGAAGCAAUGGAUCUGUCCUGGAAUCGGCUCACUGGAAAUAUUCCUACUGAAUUGACAAGACUAAAAUUUCUAGCAGUCUUAAACCUCUCUCAGAAUGUUCUUGUCGGUCCAAUUCCUCAAGGUCUACAAUUCAACACAUUUGGAAAUGACUCGUAUGGUGGCAACCUUGAUUUAUGUGGUCUUCCUUUAUCAAAGAAAUGUGGAACGAGUGGUUCAUCACAUGUUCCUCAACCAUCGGAGUCGUAUUUCUUUAGUGGAUUUACGUGGGAAUCAAGGCUACAGUUGUGGACUAGUUGUUGGAACUGUCAUGUGGAGCCUCAUGUUUAAAUAUCGUAAUCCAAAAUGGUUUGUGGAAUUUUUUGAUAGACUCAUGCCUCACAAAAGAAGAAGGCCAAAGAAGAGAGCUCAGAGACGACGGAUUUAAUGGAAGAUUGAGAGGGCCAACUUGUCUUUGUUUGAUUUUGUGGACUAGUUAGUGAACUUUUCUGGUUCUGUUUUUGUCUUUCUGUUUGUUGUUUUGUAUAUGUUUGAAAGAAACAUAAUUAUUAUAUGUGUGGUAUUUUAGUAUCAAUGGUUAUUCAAGUUAAGUCUAUUUCUGUUUCAAGUUGACAGAAGUGAUCUACACAGCCACUCAUUAGCUAUGUUACUUAGACUCUUCAAAAAUGUCAAUGGGUACGUGUUGGAUUCUUCAAAAGUAAUGCAAUUUUUAAGGAAUCAACAUGGGUGUCAUUAUAUUUUAGGAUAGUCGAAGCAACAUAACUCAUCUUUCUUAACAUUUUCUGUUUCUGUAUUUAUUUCUUUUAAAGAUCAUUGCUUUGAUCUUAAUGGCUUUCAACCCAUAUUAGGAACACUUGAAAUGGCUGAACUCAUACACACAGAGGAUAGAAACUAUUCAGCUGUUGACUGAAGUGAUCCACUUAUUAGUACAACAAAACAGGAAAAGGCUACAUCCACCUCUGGGGCUCAUGUUGUUCUGUUUCUUCAAAUGCAAAACACUCUCUAUCAGGAUUUUCUUUAUUUUCAAGGUUCGAAUCCGAAACCCUUGGUUCAAUUUUACCUGGAACCAUGCAUUUAGCAUAACUAUAUGUCCUAUUGCAUUAUAGUUAUUAUACAAAGUGGAAAAGUUCAAGGGAUAAUAACACCAUCUCAAAAGUCGGGUGUGUAACUGAAAAUCUAAAUCAACUUUAGGGGUAUACUUAGGGCUGUUCAAAACUGAACCAUAACCGAUAAGUCAAUCGCAAAAUUGACUUAUUGGUAUUGGAUUAUCGGAUUAACGGUUGGUCAACGGAUUAAAAUUUUAUAGUUAAUGGUGCGGGGCGGAUUACUCAAUGGUGCGGGCCGGAUCACUCAAUUUCCUUCUAGGGUAAACCAUUAACCUUUUAAAAAUUAUCGUAGUUAGGAUAUUUAUUAAGUAAAUACUAAUGCGCUUGCACCCUCAAAAUUUAGUUCACAUGUGUUGUCACGCCCUGAGCCUACACCCUGGACGUGGCGGGCACUCGAAGACCAUUGCUGGUCCCAAGCGAACUGUUGGCCUAGUUUACUUGACUCAGCGGAAGACUUAAACUAAACAAAGAUAAGUUCAUAUAAUAAAUUGGAAUGUUAUAAAGGAACAUUCAACUGGACAUUAAGGCAAACUCAAGUCUGAACAUGGAGUAAUGACAAUGAAAAAACUAAAAACUAACAUCUGACUGUCUAUGAAGCCUCUAAUAACAACUGAGAUGGAUGUUGGGAUAGACCCCACAACAUCCUAAUAAACUAAACUGGAAAGCAAUGAAAUGGAUCCUCCGGAAAGCAAGGAGGCUCACCAACAGACUCUGGACUGCUCACUGGAUCAACGAUGCGUCAGGAUGCCGAUCCUAGUUACCUGUGUUUGCAUCAUAAUACGAUGCAGACCAACUGACAUCAGUACAUUGAGUGUACGAGUAUGCGAGUUGGAAUGCUAAAACAACAUAGACUAGAAAGAAUCUGAGAGAAACUGAAGAACUUACAUGACUCAACUCAACAUGACUGAACUCAUUUCAUUAUAAAUCAGUUUAAAAGCAAGUGCAAUAUAAAGAAAAGUUGUUUAAAAACAUGAUAUUAACUCUGUGUGUAUGCAAGAUACAAAUAACUCUGAGAUGUAUUUAAAAAUACAAUAAACUGAUGUAUAUAAAAAUACAAUAACUUCUGUGGGAGUUUCUCUAACCGACAACCACCACUUAUGAAACUAAGUGGUGAUACAACGUUUUACCUCACGUUACCCAAGGACCAUCNNNNNNNNNNNNNNNNNNNNNNNNNNNNNNNNNNNNNNNNNNNNNNNNNNNNNNNNNNNNNNNNNNNNNNNNNNNNNNNNNNNNNNNNNNNNNNNNNNNNNNNNNNNNNNNNNNNNNNNNNNNNNNNNNNNNNNNNNNNNNNNNNNNNNNNNNNNNNNNNNNNNNNNNNNNNNNNNNNNNNNNNNNNNNNNNNNNNNNNNNNNNNNNNNNNNNNNNNNNNNNNNNNNNNNNNNNNNNNNNNNNNNUUAUCCCGGGAUUAACUUACCUUAUCCCGGGAUUAACUUACCUUAUCCAUUACACCAAACGACCCCUAAGUCUUAAAACAAAGUUAAAAGCCUUUGCAAAAGACUUCUUGAAAAGACUCUAAGAAUUUCUUAGACUUGGCUCUUGACUUUCCUUGAAUUUAAAUUUAGGAAUUCAAGGUUAUGGUUUAUGUUUCUGGAUGAUUUCUAGACGUUUAGAAGUCAUUUAGAGUAGUUAGAAUCAAUGGAAAGUGUUAGUACACUUUAGAAGAACUUAAAUAGGCUAGACGACGGAAAACUGACGAAAAACGACGAUUUGGGCGCAUCCCGGGCGCGCUGCGCCAGCCCCAACUUACUGGGGCUCAAAUCUGGCGCACUGUUGGCGCGCUGCCCCAUCCCCUCGGGCGCAUCUGGGGCGCGUUGCGCCAGCCUCCCUUCAAGCAAAAUUCUAACGAACUUUUGCUCUCGUUUUCUGAUCCUAAAUCGUUUUAAUCUAAUUCUUUUUCUCAAUUUCACUUUAGAUUUAUGUACCCAAAUCAUAUACACAAGGAUCUAACUCAAGGAACUCAAGAACUAACAACUUAGUCAUCAAGAACUCCUAAAACUCAACUCAUGUUCAAGAACAAAAGUAAUUCAAGAACCACAUUCAAUAACAUUCAAAAUCCAAUCUUUUUGAAAUGAAAUCGCUGAAUCAAACAUGCUUGGCACGUGGGUAAACGAACCCAACAUUGAGAUAGACUCACAUACCUUAAUUGAUUGAAUCCUCGGCCAAAUUCGCAAGCAAUUCCUUACGACGACAACGAAUCUAGCUUUUUCCUCCUUUGUCUUUUCUUGCGUUCUUCCUCCAAAACCCUAGUUCUAUUUGGUAAAUGUCUAAACUGAUUUAAUUCAGCUUAGACCCCUAAUUAAUUACCAAAAAUGAAUUAAAAUAAAAGGGUAAGGAAAAGACCAAACUACCCUUUAAAAUCCGGAUUGGACAUUUCCUUAAUCCAACAACCCAACUUCCAAAGGGAAUAUCUCACUCAUAUGAACUCGUAAUCGUGCAAACUUGGCGGCGUUGGAAAGAUAAUUCCAAGAGCUUUACAAUUAUACCUGGAAGUACACCUAACUCAUCUUGAUCUAGGAGUUAUCUCCGUUUGAAGUUGGCCCAAAAAUCAACUUUUCUUAACUUAAACAAAUUUUCCAGAUUUUUGUUAUUUCCAAAAAAAAUGACUAUUUCAACUUCUUAGCUUCUUCCUAGUUAUUUCAAUUUGUGAGAUGUUACAUGUGUCUCACUGUGAUUUACAAUUACUGAAUUACCAGCUUAAGUAGGGCUAGAAAAAAAUGUUUUGUUUGAUGGGAGAUCAAUCUAAUUGUGAUUGAAAGUGAAAGAAGGGAGCACGGAAUGUUGGAGCCAAUACACCAACCGAUAACCAUCCAUUAAUUCCUAACCCGAUACCGAGUCAACCGAUAGCUUAUCCAUUGGCUAGCAGAUUAAUUUCUUUCUCGUGUUUGUAAUUUUAUCUUGUUUUAUUUUUUCUUUCACUUAGACUCCAUAUUUAUUUAUUAAGAAAUUAAUUAAAUAUAUAAUUAUGAAUUUGGUAAUUAGAAUGAGUUGUGAGAGUUAAACGAUAAAUUCAAAAUUUAUAGAAAUCAAAUUUUGGCUCCAUUUCUGAAAGGUGAGGUAAAGAUAGGGCUUGGAGUUUAUGAAAUCUAGAUUUUAGAAAAAGACCGCACCUUAAUAGGCUUUUGAUAGAUUAUUUGAAAAUUUUAAAUAUUAAUAUAUGAUUUGAGCUGAAGUUACUAAACACUUUUCGAACCCAAGCUAUACUUCUUUCUCAGGGUAUACCCUCCACAACUUCACUCUUAAUCAUAUAUUUUGACUUUGAAUCAUUCUAGUACUAGAAUAAGGAUAAUCAGCUAGGCAAUUAAGCAACACUUUCUGGCAUGGUGGUACAACUGCCAACAACUAGAAACAUUUUUCAUAUUUCUUAAAUUCAAUCAAUGUAGUAACUUGUAAACUUAAGUUUCAUAGUUAAGAUAUGGUAAAAAAAAUAAAAAUAAUAUCUCUUUUAUUGAGUAAGGUAUAAUCUACAGAAAUUUUUAUGGGCCUCAAAAAUGGGCUGCUCCUUUUAAACAUGGGAUGGGCUUCUCUUCUCUUAAUGGGCCUUAUGCUGCACGAGCCUGUAUUAGUUGGAGCUCCGAAACAGGAAUAGAACACCGGGUUAAGGAUUUGAAAAUUAUCUUUCCAAAUGACAUUCAAGCUAGGUGCUCUAAUAUAUUUUACUCGCUUUCCUUAACUUCCUUGAUUUAUCUUUAUCUAUACUGACAGUGUAAAACUUAUCACUUAUAAUAGUUAACACGUUAUUUUCCUGAUUUCAAAUUAUUAAUCUCAUGAAGUUUCACUUAUAGUUACUUUUAGAUGACUUGAUAGUGAAAAAAAAUAUUCUUUGAAACUUUGUUUCAAAUUGUCUAGCAUACAAUUAUCCCAGAACAAUGUAGGGGCGGAUCUAGUGAAGCAGCUACGAGUUCAUUCGAACCAAGUAGCUUUGCUUAAGACUCUUUAUAUAUGUUAAAAAAUGAAUUACAUAUUUUUCAACCUUUCAAAAUAAAUGGUACUUGUAUUGUUACCAUGUAGUACCUAAGUGUAAUGGUUACGCAUAAUUUGUAAAUUUUGUAAUGAAGGGUCUAUCGGAAACAACCUCUCUUCUCUACCUCCACAAGUUAUGAUAAGGUCUGCAUACACACUACCCUCCUCCUCAGACCGCACUUGUGGGAUUACAUUGAGUAUGUUGUUGUUUGUUCAUUUAGUUGUUGUGAAAAACUAUAAGAUAGUACCAUUUUUUGUUGUGUGUUACACAUGAUUCAGUCCUUAAGACAGCAAAGCUGGUCUUCUGUAGGAGAUAUUUGUCUCAAGUUCACAUUUGAUAUGUGUUACACAUGGUUCUAUAUAUGUGGAUAGGAAAAAUCUAUGUAGGAGAUAUUUGUCUUAAAUAACAUCACCAUUGAUGCUGGAAUACAAAUCACUUUCCCUAGCCUAGAAGUUUUGCAGUUUUCUUGUAAACUGAAGGAUUUUUCACACUUGUUGAGAAAUGUAAAGACAUUUGUGUACUUGGAUAUUUCUGCUCCCAAUUGCACACGCAAAUGUAUGUGGUCGCGGAAGAAAUAUAGUGACUCUUAACAGAAUCGGAUUAUAUAUCGAACCCAAAAGACUUGUCAAUUAACUAUUUUACUAAAUUAUACUGGUCUAAUUAUUUAUUUAAGAGUGCCAAAAGAAUUGACUUUUAUUUAAAUACUAAGAAUGCAAGAAUUAAAUAAUAAAAUUACUUACAAUGGUUGGAAAAUUUCAGGGCCGCAACAUGCAUAGGGUUCAUGUAUCACAUCUCAUGCAUGAAUUAACUACAGUUAUCAAAUUACUGAUUUACACGGUUGAUUUUAUGAUCGAUCAUGGUCUUCCGACCUCUAAUCGUCUACUCAAUUUAGUUGUUUAACUACAUCGUUGAGUGAGGAUAGACAGUCCUAAUUGACGAGCAUUUAUAUUUCCUCAUGUUUUGUGACCAAGCUAGGUGUUCGUCUGAGCGUCAUUCCUAAACACAAAUCAACUCAAUUUAAUGGAAGAUCAACCUUUUUGUAUCCAUUGGUCUAUCUACCUUAGUGUCUCCUGAUUUUAAGAGUAGACAAUAGAUUUAUCUCUAUGAUGGCCAGUCAAGAAAUACUAAAACAAGAAUACAAAAGUAAUUUAAGCGAUAAUCGAUGUUCAACACUUACACAUAGCUACAACCCUAGAACAAGGGCCUUUAACUACUAAUGUCUAAGAAAAUAUAUAGAAGCCUAAAAAGUAUUGACAACUUUAUAGUUAUACCUAUGAUUCAUCUCCCCCAAUAAUUAUUUCUAUGAACUAUUUAUAGAUAUAGAAAAUUCCAAAUAAAAUAACUGAGUCCAAAACAAAUCGGAAAAUCAAAACCAAACGGAAUUUGACUUCCACGUCAACAAUGGUCGUCCAACUGCCUCAAUUCUCUUUGCUGCCUUCAGAAUCAGCCACGUGGCAACUAAUGUAGGUAAACUUCAUUAAUUUCCUUUCUUUGUACGUUUGAAUGAAUAUUAAGUUGUCUGCUUGAUUUUCUUCUAUAAUCUUUCAUCUUUAAUUCGUUUUAGGUCCAAAUUUUUUCAUCUUCACACCAAUUUAAUCUUAUAAAUAAAAUACACUACUUAGCAUAAUUCAUAAAAUUCAUGCUAAAAAAGGACAAAUAUAUAUAAUAAAUGUAAGGUAAAUAAUGAUUAAAAUAUAUAUUUUUAGCCUCAUAUCAAUAAGAUUCGUGGUCAAAUCCCUAACUGGUUUAAUGGCAUGAGGUGGGGUUCGUAAACCUUUCACAUAAUUCAUUAACAGGCCACCUACCAAAAUUUCAUUACCAUAAUGUAGAGUAUCUUGAUCUUAAAUUUAACUCCCUUCGGGGUCCACUACCUUCAUCCAUAUGUAACCUAAUAUAUAUUCCUUUAACAAUCUGUACAUUGAAGCAACUCACACUUUUAGAUCUUUGGAGGAGAAAUUCCUGCAUUUGAAAGUUCGAUUUUUUUGUGUUUGCCGUAGCAGUGGACUUAUAGGCCUAUUCAUCCUUGUAAUGAAAAUUGAACAUGAAUGAAAAUAAAAACCAAAUGAAAGAAAAAAAAUAUGGAGUAUAUAUUAUUUUGUUAGGUCUUCUUCGUCCUCUAACAAACACUACAAAAUAUGAGUAAUAAGUUGUUAGAAGUGAGUAGUACUCAUCUAUGGACCACAAGUUGCGUACCAUUUAUGAUUGUAUAGAUUCCAUGGAAAAAUUGCAUAGAAAUUUAAUGCAUUUGUACAACUUGGUUUCCUCUAUUCCGAAUGUACAAUAAUUGUUCUCACAAUUGGUUCAAUGACGCGUUUUGACCUUUUAUGAUUAUAUAGAUUCCGUGGAAAAAUUGUACUAAAAUUUAUUGCAUUCAUACAACUUGGUUUCACUUGAUUAAAGGGACCAAUUUCACAUCAUCUUGCUUAACACAUACUGCAGAGAUAGUCGAUCUAUGACCUCGAAAUGAACAACAACAUCUAGAGAAAAUGAGGACAUAGUGAGUAUUAUAUUGUUAAGUCUUCUUCGUGCUCUAAAAAAUCUCGUGAAACACUACAAAAUAUGUGUAACAUGUUGUUAUAAGUGACUAGUACUUAUUCAUGAAGUACAGGUGACUUUGAGUCUUCCUGGAAAUUGACUUUAACACUUAGGAUGUGUUUCUUUUCUUUCGUUAAUUUGUACCUCAUAGUCCCAUGCAUAGACAAGUCAGCAAUGCUACUUUAUGAAAUAUCGUUUAGUUAAUUAAUUGUUCACAUUAUUUAAUGUGGAGGUCGUUAUAACAAUUAAGAGAUGAAAUGGUGUUUAGUUAAUUAUAUCAUCAUUUCUUACGUGACUACUUAUUUUAUUAACUUAUUUAUAUCUGGGCAAUUAUCAUGAACCCGCAUUAUUAUUUUUACGUUUAUCUUUUUUAUUCUUUCAUUAUUAAAUACUCUAAAGUCUAUCAAACGGUAAAACCUUUUGAAUUAUACAAACAAUAUUGUUGGGUGUUAAUAAAAAGAUCAAUCUGUUUUUUGGUGUAUUCUUUAAAUUACAAGCACUAUAACAAAAACAACUUUUAGCUCAAAAGUCACUUAACUAUGAAUUCUUUUCUCAAAAAGUCACUCAACAUUGAAUUUUAACACAAAUAUCACUCAAUUAUGAGUGGUUUACUUACAAAGUCACUCAAUUAUGAUUGUUUUACUUACAAAGUCUGUUAACAUAUUUAAUUGUUUUUUUAAUUAAAAUUUGUUGGUAUAAUUUUCUUAUUUAAAAUUAAUAUUUUAAAAAAAAGUAAUAUCCAUUAAAUAAUUUAAUGAUCUGCCCCGCUAAAAAUAUAAUAUUGAUUUUUUUUUUAAUUGGAAUUCAAGAAUAAUACGGGAAUAAAUUAUUCCAUGCAUCAGAAUUCUAAGCAUUAUGAGGAAUAAAUUAAUUUCCUCUUCAUCCCCUCCCCCUUUCUCAGUUGCUGCCUCUUCUUCCUCUUUUAGUUUUUUUAAUUGGAAUUCAAAAAUAAUACUGGAAUAAUUUCAUGCAUCAGAAUUCCUAAAGCAGAGGAGAAAGAAUCCGACAAUAAUUUAGGAGAAUUAGCGGUAAAAUAAAAUGGGUCAAUAUUAUAUUUUUAGGAGGUCAUUCAUUAAAUGAUUUAAAUGAAUAUUUUUUUAUUUUUUAAAAUAUUGCUUUUAAUAAAAUUUUAUACCAGCAAAUUUAAUUAAAAAAUUAACUAAAUAGGUCAAAUGACUUUGUAAGUAAAAUACUUAUAGUUGAGUGACUUUGUAAGUAAAACACUCAUCAUUGAGUGACCUUUUAGUUAAAAUUCAAGUUGAGUGACUUUCUGAGAAAAGAAGUCAUAGUUGAGUGACUUUCUGAGAAAAAAAAUUCAUAGUUGAGUGACUUUCUGAGAGAGUAGUGCAUAACUGAGUGACAAUAUUAUAUUACGUGGUUUUGAGUAAGUUUUAUUAUUCUAACUUUAUAUUAUAUAUUUUUUCAUUGAAAAUUUUCGUUGUUUGUAUUCUUACUUCAUAAUGGUCUAUGACUUUGUGUACAUCCUACCUUCUUGAAACUUUACUUGUAGGAUUACAUUAAUCAGUAUGUUAUAAGUAUUCAAUUUAUGUUCGAGUAAUCAACACCAAAUAUUUGGGCAUAUCCCUUGACAACAAGCCUAGCCUUGUAUUUAUUGAUAGAACCAUCAGAAUUGAGCUUGGUUCUAAACACCCAUUUUACUCCAAUGACCUUCAUAUCUUUCAGUCGGUCGACUAACUCCCAAGUUUUGUUUUUCUUGAUCAUUAGCAUCUCCUGCUCCAUUGGCGUUUUCUCCAUUUUUUAUCUUGAAGUGCUUCAUCGUGCCCUGCAGGCUCACAAACUGCCACAUUACUUUGUUGGUAGAUGUCAGAGAGUAGUCUUGUACCUCUAAUUGGAAGAUCAUCCACCAACUCAUUUUUCCAGUGAUCCGAUGCCUGCUCCUCUGAAGCUUUGACUGAAAGUUGAUUGUCCUUCCAGUCCCAUUUCUCUUCAUCAACAAAGUGCACAUCUCUACUGACAAUCAUCUUCCCUGUUUGUGGAUUAUAUACUUUGUAGGCCUUGGAGGAUGAGCUACAACCCACAAAUAUUCCAGGAAGUGCCUUCUUGUCAAGUUUGUCUCUUUUAACCUGUGGCACAUGGAAGAAACAAACACAACCAAAUACUUUAGUGAAGCUUAGUGAUGGUUUGUAUCCAUUCCAAGCCUCAAAUGGAGUUUUAUUCAACAAUGCUUUAGUAGGAAGCUGAUUUUGGAGAAAUAUUGCCGUAUUAGCUGCCUCAGUCCAAAAACUUUUCGGCAACUCUUUUUCAUGCAACAUGCACCGCGACAUCUCCAUUAUAUAUCUGUUUCUCUUUUCACUAACUCCAUUUUGUUGCGGAGUAUAUGGAGCAGUAAGCUGAUGAGUAAUACCCGCUUUCUCACAAAAUUUGUUAAAUUGUUCAAAAUUAUACUCUUUUCCAUUGUCAGACCACAGAGAUUGGAUUCUGCAACCACUUUGAUUUUCCACCAUCUUCUUGAACUUCAAGAAAAUUCCAGCCACUUCUGAUUUAUAUUUCAUAAAAAAAAUCCAGCAGAAUCUUGUAUAGUCGUCAAUGAAUAUAACGUAGUAUAGACUACCAUUAAGGGAUGGUGUUCUUUGAGGUCCUGCAACAUCUGUGUGAAUCAGUUGCAACCUUUGAGAAGUCCGCCAUGUUGCUUUAGGAAAUGACUUCUUAUUCUGCUUACCAAAUUGACAAGCUUGACAACUUGGUAAGUGAUCAACUAGAGUUGGUAGUCCUCUUGUCAUAUCUUCCUUCUCCAGCAACAAUAGUGCUUGUAGAUGGCAAUGGCCAAGUCUCUUGUGCCAGGUUUCCGUUACACUUGCCUUCAUGGAAUAAGCUAGUCACUCUUUCUCUGUUGGAUCAAAGGAAAAAAUCCUUCCUCUCAUCUUCACCCUGAAAAUUUCAUUUCCAGUAGUGUCACUGAUUUGACAGUGAUGAUCUUCGAAGAAAACCUUGAAUUCUUUUUCCAUCAGAUGUCCUACGCUUAGCAAAUUCUGAUCAAUUUCAAGAACAUACAGAACCUCUGAAAUUUUCUUUGUGCCAGUGCUCGUCUUGAUAGCUAUGGUUCCAAUUCCUUUGACAGGAAGGUGAUCUCCAGUUCCUAUCCAAACCUUCGAAAUUUCAGUGGGCUUCAACUCCUUGAAUAAACUCUCGUCAUGAGUCAUGUGGUUAGUGCAACCUGUAGUAUCCGGAAAUUUGAAAAUAGCUAUGACGAGGCUGAGAAUUGGAAAUAGUCACUUUUUGGAAAGAAUUCAAAUCUGGAAAUUUGGUUAAGUGUGGGAAAAAAAUGAGUUUUUGGCCAACUUUGAACAGUCAUAACUCCUAGAUCAGGAUAAGUUAGGUGUAGUUCCAGUUAUUUUUGCGAAGCCCUUGGAAUGAUCUUUCCAACACUGCCGAGUUUGCUCGAUUCCGAGUUUGUAUGAGUGAGUUAUGCCCUUUGGAAGUUGGGUUGUUGGUAUAGGAAAGUUCACCCGAAAUUGUAAGGGUAUUUUGGUCUUUUCCCUAACCAAUUCUUUUGGUUAUAUUAGUGUGUUAGACUGAUUUUGGAUUAGUUUUUCCCAUUUUAAAGAGUAAGAGAGAGGGUUUGUGAGUGAAGAGGAGAAGAAGAGGAGAAAGAGGGGAUCAAGCAAGGAUUCAUCAAAGAUCGUCGUGGAUAUCGUCGGGGGUGAUCCCUACUAGGUAUGUGAGUUCAUAGUGUUGGGUUGGUUCUUUCCCCCACACGCCAAUCUCGUUUUAAUUUCGAGAAAAGAUUGAUUGUGUUUGUUGAAGUUGUUGGUUGUGAUUGUGUUGAAGUUCUUGUUGAUUUGGGCAUGUUUUCGGUUGUGUUUCUGGGUUAAAUAUAUUGUAUGUUGAGGGGUUUUAUGAUAUUAAGUGUUUGGGGCUGGAAACUUUGAAGUUGGGAAGGUUUAGAAUUGGAAAAACAAGGAAGAAAAGUCGAAUUUUCGAGGGAAAAGGGGUGGGCCAUCGCGCCUGCCAGCGCGCCCCAAAAGGGGUUCUGAACUUUCCCCCUUGGGGCGGCGCACCUAGCAGCGCGCCAGCAGGCCCCUCUGAAGUUUUAGGGCUGGCGCCCCGCGCCUCUCAGAGCAACAAGGACGCCAACCUUUCCCAUUCAUUCCCCACAUUUUCAUGCAUGUUCCUUAGUAUUGUACUUAUGUUUCAUAGUUGUUUCCAACACUCCAAGGUACGUCUAAACGUCAAGAACUCAUCGAUAAACAUGUGAUCAUAUACCUUGAAUCCAUAAUCCAAUUCAAGGCGAGUUAGGAUCAAGUCAAAGUGAAGUUAAGGGUCAAGUCUAGAAGUUAAGAAGCAAGUCAAAGCAAGUUUUCAAAGGUGUUCAAGAGUCUUUAUUGAACGUUCUAACUUCAUUUUAAGGCUCAAGUUUCAAGUCAAGUAAAGAGUAUAGAGCUUCAAGCUAAGUAAAGAGUCUCAGGUUUCAAGUUAAGUCAAGAGUAUAAAGUUGAGUUCAUUUCUCAAAAACUAUUAGGGACCUAAGUAUUCCCAAAGACGUUUAUAAAUGUUUUUACAUUUGAGUAAGAAGGGAACCAUGUUCUCCAAAAAGAGCCUUUGGGCUAAGUUUGAGUAAUUAUCUCAACUAAAGAAAGAUUUGUUUAAAACACUUAUGAGCUAAAAUAUAUUUUUGGGAGUAGUCUUGAGCACCGAGUUGGGGACAUGAGUUCAUAUUAACUCAACUCUCCAUAAGAACCAUGUGGCCAACAUGGGAUUUAACGGGUCAUACUUUUUAGAUAAUCACGUAAGUUAAGCUAGUGGAUCCACUUAGUAAAGUUAGCUUCCUAUAUCACGGCAAGGUAUAGGAUGGGCCUCGGCAGUGCGAGGUAAAGCGCUGUAUCAUCACUAUAGUUCUUAAAUGAUGGUUGUCGGAUAGAGAAACUCCCACAGCAGUAGAAAGUGCUUGGUUCCUCGAGGAGUUCUGCUUAGUAUGAAUGGGGGUAUGGGACUUCAUUCAUACAUUGCACAAGUAGACCUUGAGAGGAAGCAUGGUAUUUUCAUGAUAUUAAAAAUAUGAUUUUUACGUCAUGUUUUAAGAGUUUUACAAGCUUUAUAUAUUGCAUGUGUCUUAUUGCUUUAUAUAUUGAGUUCAGUUAUUCAUGAGUCCUCCUUGCUUUCCAUAGGACUCGGUUAUUUUGUGUUCUUAGUUUUGUUUUAUUAGGGUGUUGCGGGGUCUGUCCCAACAUCCAUCUCAGUAUUUUUAGAGGCUUCACAGACAGUCAGUCAGUAAGUUUUGAGUCUCUCAUCUAUGUAUAUAUAUAAUAUUCUAUUUUGAGACGCGAGUUGCUUUUUUGGCUAGCUUUUGUCAGUUAGGUUGUUUUAUGACCUUUCAUUGCAUUGAGUUAUGCUGUUGAGUUAAGUUUCUGUUGAGUUAAGAAAAGCCAGGCCAAGGGUUCGCUUGGGGGCCAACAAUGGUGUUCGAGUGCCGGCCACGUCCAGGGUGUAGGUUCGGGGCGUGACACAACCACUGUCAACUAACCAAGAAUCUGUUGAGCUCUUACUUGAAAAGCAUGUUGCAAUAAAAGGAUGAUCUUCUUCUUCUUGAUCAACAACUUGAGCAUUUCCUUCCUCCUGCGGGGCCUAAUUCUUGCAAAUCACUGCUUCGUGUCCAAGCUUAUUGCAUUUCUUACAUUUAGCAUCAAGUCUCUUCCAACACUUGAAUGGUGCAUGGCCUUUUCUUCCACAAUGGUGACAAGGGGGAUAACUUUUUUUCGCACUUCCUCCCUUAGUUUUGUUGUUGGCUGAUGUUUCUCCUUCACACACUGCUUGAUUCUUUUUCUUCUUCUGAAUUUUGUUAACCUGAUGCUUACUGACAAGUGCCCCUUCUGUUGUAACCUCCUGUCUCAUGAGUCUUCUUUGCUCUUGAGCUUUCAGGGAAUUGAGCAACUCUGUCAAACUAAUCUUUGACAAAUCCUUAGUAUUUUAUAAGGUUGUAAUUGUUGCUUCAUACCUUUCAGGAACUGUUACAAGGAUCUUCUCAACAAUUCUCGAGUCUGAAAAUGUAGAGCCGAGUAGCCUCACCUUUUUUGCAAUAUUUAGAAGUCUAUCCGAAUAUUCCUUCACUGUUUCAGAUUCCUUCAUUUUUUGCAAUUCAAACUCCCUAAUUAAGUUUAAAACUUGCAUACCUUUUAUUCUCUCAUCUCCAGAAUACUCUUCCUUAAGAUAAUCCCAUACUUCUUUAGCAGUUUUCAGAGACAUUAUUCGCGUGAAAACUAUUGACGAUACAACAGCAAAUAAACAUGCCUUGGCCUUCGAUUUCUUUGUCUUCUGUUCCUUGUGUGCUUUAAUCUGAGCAAUGGUAGGAUUAUUUGGUAGGGCUGGAAUAUCGUAAUCCUCUUCCACAGCUUCCCAGAGAUCCAAAGCAUCCAAGUACGUCUCCAUUCAUACUGCCCAAAUCUGAUAAUUAUCUCCAUCAAAGACCGGCGGAGCAAUUGGUGAGAAACUUGCUUCAGCAUCCAUGGCUACUCCAACUCGAUCACAAAUCCCUUAAGAUGAAAGCUCUGAUACCAACUGUUUUUAGUAAGACUAAUGACAGAUAACACAAUGAAGACAAUGUCUAGUUUGCUACAGAAAGGAAAGCAGGAGAAUACAAGGAAUUUAAAUGUGAAGAUAACUAAGAGAAAAGCUUAUGCAGAAAGUUGUAUUUCAGUAAAAUCAACCAAAAAUACAUAAACAUACAAUUAAGUAACUGAUAUAGAUCAUGGUCCUACUUUUAAGUCAUGGUACUAACCAUGGUAACUACCCCUAAAAUAACUGAAAAAAGAAAUACAGGAAACUUAGAAAUAGAUCCUGCAGUCCUAAAGCAACUAACUAAUAGUCGUAAAUGGUAAUCGAUUUGAAGGACCUGUCCCUGUGUCGUUGCUCAAAUGUCAUAAUUUAGAAGUUCUUGAUGUGGGGAACAAUGCUAUAAAUGACACGUUUCCAUCUUGGCUUGAAAUUCUUCAAGAGCUGCAGGUCCUUAUAUUAAAGUCGAACAAGUUCCAUGGACCUAUAAGUACGUGUCAAACUAAGUUUUGCUUUCCCAAGUUGCGAAUUUUUUAUUUUUCUCGUAAUGAUUUCAGUGGCUCACUUCCUGCAAAAGUUUUUGGAAACUUCAAGGCAAUGAUCAAAUUAGAUGACGAAGACACAAGAGAGAUCAGGUACAUGGAAUCUAUGUCGAAUUUGUCAUCUAUCGCAUCGUAUGAGGAAUCAGUGAGUUUGGUAAUCAAAGGGCACGUUAUUGAGCUACAAAGAAUCAGCACAAUUAUGACAACCAUAGAUCUCUCAAGCAACCAUUUUGAAGGUGUCAUUCCGGAAACACUAAAAGAUCUCAGCUCACUUUGGCUACUCAAUUUAUCCCAUAACAAUCUCAUAGGUCAUAUUCCAAUGGAAUUGGGGCAAUUGAAUACACUUGAAGCUUUAGAUCUCUCCUGGAAUUGGCUCACUGGAAAGAUUCCGCAGGAAUUAACAAGAAUGAACUUUCUGGCCUUCUUAAACAUCUCUCAAAAUCAUCUCGUCGGACCAAUUCCUCACAGUCUACAGUUCAACACAUUUGAAAAUGACUCGUAUGGCGGCAACCUUGAUUUAUGUGGUCCUCCUUUAUCAAAACAAUGUGGAACGAGAGAUUCAUCACAUGUUCCUCAAGCAUUGGAGUCCUAUUUUUUUAGUGGAUUUACAUGGGAAUCAGUAGUCAUAGGCUACAGUUUUGGACUAGUUGUUGGAACUGUCAUGUGGAGUCUCAUGUUUAAAUAUCGUAAGCCAAAAUGGUUAGUGGAAUUUUUUGAUGGACUCAUGCCUCAGAAAAGAAGAAGGCCAAAGAAGAGAGCUCAGAGACGACGGACUUAAUGGAAGAUUGAGAGGGGCCAACUUGUCUUUGUUUGAUUUUGUGGACUAAUUAGUGAACUUCUCUGGUUCUGUUUUUGUCUUUUUAAUAUUCUGUUUGUUGUUUGUAUAUGUUUGAUAGAAACAUAAUUAUAUAUGAGUUAUUUUAGUAUCAAUGGUUAUUCAAGUUAUGUUUCUGUUUCAAGUUGACAUAAGUGAUCCACACACCAAACUUAUUAAUUAGCUAUGAUACCCGGACUUUUCAAAAAUGCCAACAGAUACUUGUUGGAUUCUUCAAAGUAUUGCAUUUCUCAAGGAACCAACACAGGUGCGACAUCAUUAUAUUUUAGGAGAGUCGGAGCAACAUAGUUCAUUAGUACAACAAAAAGGAAAAAGCAAAGCAGUAAGCACAUAGAGUUUGGUUCAUGAUUGAAAUCACUUGAUAUUAGAAAGUUCAUAUAUUCAGCAUAACUGCAUGUCCAUUUUACAUUACAGUUCUUCUUAUACAAACUAGAAAAGAAAAUCUUGUGUUUACAGAAACUGAAAAUUGAUUUUCUAUAAUGUAAUACAUUUGCAUUGACCACACUACCCUUUUGUCACAGUGUUUUAUAGGUUACGAAGUUUAAGAAAAAAAAGUAAGAUUUUUUAAAUUUGUGAUUUUGAAUAUGACGUGCGAUUUUUGUGGCUAUAUAUAAAAGUAUGAAGUGUUGAUCUUUUUUGAAAUAGAUUAAUAGGAAAUAGUGUUACGUAAAAUGAAAGACAGAAUGUACUAUAUAGUGUGAUAUUGAACCAGAUCUUGAGAUAUAUAGAGUGCAAACUAGCUAGCUGUAAAGUAUCAACUUUGUCCCCAUUAAGUUUUUUCUACUACAAAAAAACUAGAAAAGUGAAAAGUGUUGUGGAAAAUUAUAGAAUGUACCUAACAUGUUUGAAAACAACUAAUCAGGAAUUUCUGAUACAAUUUCUCUGCAAUCUUUAACAUUAAAUAUUGACCAAGUCAAGUCUCUCUGGUGGUGGAAUUAGAAUGUUGAAUUAGCUUUACUUUUAUUUCUUUCUUGUUUAACAUCUUAUAUUUAUAAAUAAAAUAAGGCAACAUGUCCUAUCAUUAUUAUACUAAAUUUAUUUUUCUUCUUGUUUAAGAGCUUAUAUUUCUGUAAAGAAUGUGUAUGCUAUAUUUUUACAUUUUUCACUUCUGAAUAAGUAGUAGUAUAUGAAUCUUGCAUAAUAUAACCUGCUUUUCCAAGAGGCCUUUGUGUAUUAAAUUUUUUGUAUCUAUUAUCUAGAUUAAGCUUCAUCUAGAUAAUGCAAAAACCGACUCUGGUUAGUCUUCGCGGAAAUUUGCCUAAAGACUUAGAAGUCAUCGUCUGAUAGUUGCAGUAAAGUACCCCUUUUUUCUUUGUUGCUUAAUUAAAUACGAGACGGUCCUAUGAAGAAUAAUGGAGUUUCCCUCAUUAACUUAAUGUGAAAACUCAUGUGUAACUAACAAGUUUGAAAACAGCACAAGAGACAACUAAUCAAACACCAACUUGGAAAUUUCUCAUAAUAGCUUUUAGGAACGCUUUGUAUAAUCCAAUGUUUUUUUGAGCUAUUGACUUAGUACAACACAACAGGAAAAGGCUGCAUCCACCUGUGGGGCUCAUGUUGUUCAUGGGUUAUUUAUCAGUCUAGACCUUAGUGGUAGUUAUCUUUAUGGAACUGUAGAGAAUAGCAGAAGAAAAGUAUAAUCUGCUAGCCCAAGAUCAUUAACUAUAAAAGAUCGGAAUAUUCAACUAAAGAAGAGGAAGCUAGAAAGAACUUGUUUAUGGAAUAAGACUCUUUUAUUUGGGUUGUUCUUGAGUUGUAUACAAAUGACUGAGGCCACCCCUAUUUAUACUUAUGUGGGGAUGGUUCUAGACAUUACAAGAUCUAGACUAUUUUCUACAGUGAGUGUUACAUACGGGACCAAUUUCACAUCAUCUUGCGUAACAAACAAUGCAGAAAUAGUUAAUGACCUCGAAAUGAACAACAACAUCUUGAGAAAAUGAGGACAUAAGGGGUAUUAUUUUGUUAAGUCUUCUCCGUCCUCUAAAAAGUCUUGUGGAACACUACAAAAUAUGAAGUAACAAGUUGUUAGAAGUGAGUAGUACUCAUCCAUGGACCACAAGUUGUGUAGUUAGUGAUGCCAAGGUUGUAUUAUUUUUUCUCCCUUUAUGCCAAAGUUGGACAAAAUGAAUAUUGUAUAUAUAAUUGGUACUAUCAAACAAAAUUUGAAGACUUGAGUCUUUCUGGAAAAUGACUUAAAACACUUUGGACAACUUUUUUGCAAUCACAAAUUAGUUAGUGGUAGAUGUGGGGGCAAAUACCCCAUUUUAUUUGUCUGGAUAUGUUUCAUUCUCUUUUUCUAUUCACACUUUUACAGUAAAGAUGAAAGAGAAAAUAAUUUAUGUGUGAACAAAUUAAAUAUACCACAACAUGAUUUUCUUAAAAAUAAAAAAAAUAAAAAAAGUAAUUUUUGUACAAGUAGGGAUAUAUGUGAAGCCACUUUUGUAACAACGGGUAUAUUAACUCUAAAAUGACAAAGUUGAGGGAUAUAUCAUGCCCUUUUCCUUAAUGUGCCUUGCAAUGAUAACAAUAUAAGUUGAAUAGGAUACAGUUCACUACAAUUAUACCACAAAAACAACUUUUUUGAUGUAGUGUCGAUCACUACACCUUUAUCUUGAGUCGAGGGUCUACGAAAACAGCCUCUCUACUACUUUGGUUAUUCUCCAUCUCUUUCAUGUUUGAACUGUAUCAUAUAGAUGGAGUUUCCCUCAUUAACUAAAUGUGAAAAGUCUUGGAAAACAACACAAGAGACAACUAAUCGGAAAUUUCUCAUAAAAUUUCUAAUUAUGCAGGAAAUUAAGACACAUAUCAAACAAAAUUUUGAAUAAAAAGCAAAUAAAAAAAUUAAAAAAAAAUUCCACACGGUAUUAUUGUUCAUUUUUUUCCUCACUUGACUUAGUCAAGAAAUAGUUUCUCUCAUUGGAAAUUUCUUAGAAGUUCAGCAAAAAACAAUUCCACAUAAUGGGACCAAAUUCACAUCAUCUUGCCUAACACACACUGCAGCGAUAGUUAAUGACCUCAAAAUGAACUCAACAUCUAGAGAAAAUUAGGACAUAAAGAGUAUUAUUUCGUUAAGUCUUCUCCGUACUCUAAAAAGUAUUGUGGAACACUACAAUAUAUGAGUAACAAGUUGAUUUUUAAUACCAUUGUUUAAUCUCCUUAAUGUUUUGAGUAAGAUUUGAUUUUUUUUUUUACGCGAUGCGUGACGCCUAGGCAGACGUGCCCUGAGUAAGAUUUGGUUAUUCUAACUUUAUAUUAUAUUUUUUCAUUGAAUUUUUUUGUUGUUUGUACUCUUCCUUCAUAAAGGUCUGUGUAUAUCCUACCUUCUUGAAACUUUACUCGUAAGAUUACAUUAAUCAUUAUGUUAUAGGUAUUCAAUAUACAUAGGACACUUAGAACUAGUAUAUAUAUGUAUGGAUGAUACUGACUGAUUUGUAAGAAGAACACAUCCAUCCUGAACACAAACAAACAAAAAAUGGUCAUGAGUCUGUUUUUCUUUUAUUCAUUUCUAUGUUUUGUGUUUUUAUUAAGUGAAUGCUUUUCUUCAUCCUUUGAUCAUCAUCUUUGCUCUCCCACUGAAGUUUCUGCUUUGCUUCAGUUUAAGCAAUCCUUUAAAAUAUCUGAUUACUCUACUCUUCAGUGUGAUACUUCUUUCCCAAAAACAAAGUCUUGGAAUGAGAGUAGGGAUUGCUGCAGUUGGGAUGGAGUCACUUGUGACUUAUUAAACGGUCAUGUUAUCGGGUUAGACCUUAGCUGUAGUCAGCUUCGUGGAAGUAUUCAUCCCAAUAGCAGCCUCUUCCAACUUCAUCAUCUCCAAACACUAAACCUUGCUUACAAUAACUUUUCAACUUCUUCAAUCUCACAUAACAUUGGCCGAUUGAGGAAUUUGAGGCAUCUCAACCUUUCUAAUUCUUUCUUUAGUGGGAAAAUCCCAACAGAAAUCUCAUUCCUUUCCAAUUUGGUUUCACUUGAUCUUUCUUAUAGUUAUGGAUUACAACUUGAUGAGAGAACAUUUGAAACAAUGCUUCACAACUUUACAAAUCUGGAGGUACUAGCUCUCUUUCUUGGCAACAUCUCGUCACCGAUACCUGUAAGUAUUCAUCCCAAUAGCAGCCUCUUCCAGCUUCAUCAUCUCCACACACUAAACCUUGUUAACAAUUUCUUUUAUCCUUCUUCAAUCCCAAAUGGCAUUGGCCGAUUGAGGAAUUUGAGGCAUCUAAAACUCUAUGAAUUUCAAGGGAAAAUCCCAACAGAAAUCUCACACCUUUCCAAUUUGGUUUCACUUGAUCUUUCUUAUAGUUAUGAAAAAUUACAACUUGAUGAGAGAACAUUUGAAGCAAUGUUUCAGAACUUGACAAAUCUGGAGCUACUUUCUCUCUAUGGUGUCAACAUCUCAUCUCCGAUACCUGUUAAUAUUUCUUCAUCCUUAAGGUACCUGGAUCUUGGAUAUACUAAUCUGCGAGGUGUUCUCACAGAGAGCUUUUUCCUUGUGCCAAACUUGGAAAUACUCAAAUUGAGUGGGAAUGAUCUUGUCAAAGGAGUUUUUCCAAAGAUCCACUGGAGCAACACUCUGUUAAUGGAGUUGGAUAUUUCAUCCACAGGCAUCUCUGGUGAGGUGCCUGAUUCAAUUGGCACCUUCAGUUCCUUGAAUAUCUUGAACCUUGCAGGAUGCCAAUUCUCUGGUUCCAUUCCUGAUUCCAUUAGCAACCAAACACAAAUUAGGGAGUUGAUUUUAUAUCAUAAUCAUUUCACUGGCCAUAUUCCUUCCACAAUCUCUAAAUUGAAGCACCUCACACGUUUGGAUCUUUCAAUUAACUCCUUUUCAGGUGAAAUUCCUGAUGUUUUCUCAAACCUCCAAGAGCUACGUACUUUACAUCUUUCUUAUAACAGCUUCAUCGGUUCGUUUCCCGCUUCAAUUUUAAGUUUGACACAUCUUGAAUACUUAGGAUUGUCGAGUAAUUCCCUAUCUGGCCCACUGCCUAGCAACCAAAGCAUGCUUCAAAAGCUAACCGAACUGAAUUUGUCAUACAACUCACUGAAUGGUACCAUACCAUCUUGGGUGUUUAGCCUACCUUUGCUAUCUUCAGUGUCGCUCCAACAUAACCGAUUCAGAGGACUAGCCGAUGAAGUGAUCAAAACAAACCCAACAUUAAAACAACUGCAAUUAAGCAAUAAUCAACUCAGUGGUUCUUUUCCUCAAUCACUUGUGAAUCUCACAAACCUUGAAACCCUUGGAAUUUCAUCAAAUAACAUCACCAUUGAUGGGGGAAUGAAUAUCACCUUUCAUAGACUAUCAUCUUUAUUCUUAUCAUCUUGUGAACUGAAGGAUUUUCCACACUUCUUGAGAAAUGUAAAGACACUUGUGUACUUGGAUAUUUCUAACAAUAAGAUUUGUGGUCAAAUCCCUAACUGGUUUAGUGGCAUGAGGUGGGACUCGUUGCAGUUCCUAAACCUUUCUCAAAAUUCAUUAACAGGCCACCUACCACAAUUUCGUUACGAUAACCUACAGUAUCUUGAUCUGAAAUUUAACUACCUUCAGGGUCCACUAGCUUUAUCCAUUUGUAACAUGAGGAAACUUAUCUUAUUAGAUUUAUCACACAACUACUUCAGUGACUCAGUUCCACAUUGCUUGGGAAGCAUGCCUAAUCUAACGGUGCUGGACUUAAGAAGGAACAAUUUCACAGGGAGUCUUCCCCCAUUAUGUGCACACAGCACUUCGUUGAGUACCAUUGUCAUAAAUGGUAAUCCUUCCUGCAAAAGUUUUUGGAAACUUCAAGGCAAUGAUCAAAUUAGAUGACGAAGACACAAGAGAGAUCAAGUACAUGAAAUCUACGUUGAAUGCGUUAGUUGUCAGAUCGUAUGAGGAUUCGGUGAGUUUGGUGAUCAAAGGGCAGGAUAUUGAGCUAGAAAGAAUCAGCACAAUUAUGACAACCAUAGAUCUCUCCUGGAAUCGGCUCAUUGGAAAGAUUCCGCAGGAAUUGACAAGAAUGAACUUUCUGGCUUUCUUAAACCUCUCUCAAAACCAUCUUGUCGGACCAAUUCCUCACGGUCUACAAUUCAACACAUUUGAAAAUGACUCGUAUGGUGGCAACCUUGAUCUAUGUGGUCUUCCUUUGACAAAGAAAUGUGGAACGAGUGAUUCAUCGCAUGUUCCUCAACAAUUGGAGUCCGAAGAAGAAGAAGGCGAGUCAUAUUUUUUAGUGGAUUUACAUGGGAAUCAGUAGUCAUAGGCUACAGUUUUGGACUAGUUGUUGGAACUGUCAUGUGGAGUCUCAUGUUUAAAUAUCGUAAGCCAAAAUGGUUUGUGGAAUUUUUUGAUGGACUCAUGCCUCAGAAAAGAAGAAGGCCAAAGAAGAGAGCUCAGAGACGAAG